AGUCUUAGCAUGAGCUUCUACUUGAUCCACAACCUAGCGGGUUUGCAAGGAAGAAGUGUGUCAAUGUAUGAAUAAUUUUUUGAAAUAGUGUUAAUGUAUGAAUAAAGUACUGGAAAUUUGGCAUAACUCUAUUAUUUAACCAUCAAACUUGUCAGAAACUUGACAAUCUCUUUCCUGUUGCUUCUUAUGAGAAUAUAACAUGUUCUUUUUACUGGUAUUGGUCAUAUACGUACUAAAAGGAACUUCUUAUCCUAAUCGAAAAAAUUAAAAAGUGACACCAGGUUUUAUACAGGAUUAGGAAAGCAACAACCACAUCAGUAGUGAAGGUAUUGGACGAAAUAAUAAAAGAUACCCAACCCACAAUAAAAGCUUACUUGAUGCAUAAAAUUUUCACCUGUCUAUUUCUCACUUGAUGAGGACAUCCUGCAGGAAUGAAUACAGCCUCCCCAAGGCGUUGUUCAAAUGUCCAAGGUUCAACAUCUGAAAACAUUAAAGCAUCUUAAGUUAUACAUUAAUAUAAACAAUUUUUCUCUGAUGGAAAUGCUUACUGAAGGUAACUAAUUCCUUACCAAACUCCUCCUUCAGCUGCUUCUUAUGUCUCUCGUUUAGAUAAAGGGUCUGAUCGUGAAUAGGAUGAUAAACCUAAAGCAAGCACAAAACUAGACUUAAAAUGAUUAAACUCUAAAUCAAAUUAGCAGAUUCAUUUCCCAGGUAAAGAUACGCACAACAUUCACCGGAAGAUUACUAUUAUGAUGGAACUCGCUUUGGUGCUUCAAUAAAAACUCAAUCAGCUUGGGUACAUCCUGCCUACGAAAAAUAUCCCAAACAGCACCACCAUAUGCCACAUCUGAAUUCUCCCUCCCCUGAAUAAAUUCCUUACCUUCAUUCGUAUCUAGCUUGACUGGCCCUAAAUCACUUACUCCAUAUACAUCUUUGCGUCUGCGACAGCGAAGUUUCAUCCGAACAGGAUGGUUGGUGUGCGCAGCAAUAUGAUUAUCGAAAUUAUUCAUCCCUCCAUCUAGACCUUCAAUGGAUUUCUCAGCCAUAUUAAUGCUCAAACUUUUUAAGGAGGUACAUGGCAGACCACAAGUAAUCCCGUAUGACUCUGUAACAUCCAAUUCCUUGGAUUUAAUUUGUUGUCCAUCCAAUUUCUCUUCCUCUAGCUGUACCUCAGUGAGCUUGGACACAUCAUGCUUACAAAAAGUAUCCCAAACAGCACCACCAGAUGCGACAUCUGAAUUGUCUUUCUCUAGAAUAGAUUCCAUCUUUUCAUUUGCAUCUAGCUUGACUGACCCUAUAUUACUAACUCCAUACUUAUCUUUCUGUUCGUUACUACGAAGUUCCAUUUUAGCAUGAUGCUUAAUGGCAGUAGUAAUGUGACUACCAAAACUCUCCAUAUCUCUAUCUACUUCUCCAAUAUAUUGUUGGUCAUUAUUAAUGGUCGAACUUUCUAAGGAAGAAGAACAUGGCAGACCACAGGUAAUCUCAUACGACUUCGGAAUUCCCAAUUCCUUGGAUUUAGUUGGUUGUUCAUCCAAUUUCUUUUCCUCUCUCUGUUUAUUUGAUUUUCCAGAGUAUUUGAAGUCCCUUCGUUUAACUUUAUAAGCUCUUUUUCCUCGCUUCCUUCUGACUCUACCCAAUGCCCUUCUUUUCCCAACAGAAUGCUCACCCAAAUCUCCAGCUUCAUACUUUUUCUUUAAUCUGUUUAUAAUUCUACGUUGCCAUCGAGGAAUCUUCACUUGGGUCAUAUGAGUCAGGACAUUGACCUAAAAAGAAAAAGAAGAAAUAGAAAAAAGAAAUUGAGAGAAAGAAUUUAAGAAGUUAGGAAAAUACAUCUCUAUAUCACAUAAUAUAAGGAAGAAAGAUUUUGAAAGAUAUAAUGACAACAAGAGAAAUUUAGAAAAUAUAUUUUGUGUUCAGAAGAUACAUAAUUGAAACAUCAGGCAAUCAGAAAUGGACAAAUGUUAGGUCAAAAGAUGGGUAUAUGCCAGUGAUUUCAAUGAUAAUCUUGAAUAAGAGCCAAUAAAAAUCAGCUCUAUGUACUUCAUGUGGUAACCUAUUGUGCUCUUUAAUCCUUUACAUUCAAAAGCUGGCAUAAGAAUCUGGGAACAAAGUAGGACCUACUCUCUGAAAUGAAAACUAAAAUGCAAAGGAAUAAUUAACAACUGAUGCGGAUUUUUUUGUGGGAAGAAAUAUGGGUCAGCUAUGGCAAUUGAUCAUGGAUCUAAUAGAAGCUACUUUGACACAAAAUUGUGUUUCGUUCUCUCAUUAAUAUAAAGCAAUAUGUUCAAUCUUAAUCAUAAAAAGAGACAAAUCGUAAAGGAGAAACUUUUAAUUUCUUAGGAAGUAGGAGAAGCUGCCCAAAACAGAAACCACAACAAUCCAACUUCAAAUUAAACUUUAGAACACCUGCCCUGUAGUUCGUCAUCUGUGGUGUUGGUUUACAAAAGGCUGGGUAUUAGCUGGGUUUGUUUGGGGUCUAUUAAAGAAGAGAUUUGGGCUUGGAAGCAUCUCAGCAACUAUUGUAUCCUUGCUGACUUGAUUUCCAUUCCAAUUAUGUGGACUGAGUGGAAAGUUAGGAACAGUAGGGCCUUUGAGGGUCUCGAUGAAACUAAUGAUUUUGAUGUACUGAAGAAUAGAUGGCCUAGUACCCUUAAUUUUUUGCUUACGGGCCAUCCUCCGGUUUAUUUUGAGACUUAUAGGAAGAUUACUGGAAUGGAGGACUAAGCUGUAAAUAAUUGUACAUGUUCUUUUGCACCCCUGGUGCUCAUACUAAUACUACUAUUCUACUUUUCAUUUUAAAAAAAACUUUAGAACACCUCAACCUUAUCCAUCACGUGAUCUGCAUUUAAUUGUUCUAGUGGCUAUAAACAAAUGGUUCUUACUUAAUUUGCGGAAUAAUUCAACAAAAUGUUUCCUUUAACAUGUUCUGCAACAUAAGCUGGAAAUCAAAAAAAAAUCAAGAAGUAUGCUAUGCUCCCAAUUAAUAUAUGGGGUCCUUGGGAUUUACUCCCAAUUAAAUAUACUUGACACUUCUGGGCCUAAAGUUUCCAAUUCCCUAUGCCGUGUCCUUGAGUCUCACUGCCAUUUAAUAAUCAUAAAUUCUACAUAAGCAUCUGCAACACAUGUGCUUCAUGAUACAUAAAUUUGGCUUCCAGUAACUCCCUUUGGAAGGUUAAAGUUCCUUAAAGACGAUAGGCUUCAUUUGGGUUGCAGUACUAGACAGAACUAAAUCACAUGAUUCUUUAUAGAUGCAAGAAGGAAGUCAAACCACCUCACCAGAUAUUUCUGCAACCUGUUGGUGGAGUUCCAUAAGAAAUAUAACUUGUUCUUCCAUUGUGAGAGCAUGGUGGUUACGGUGUUACGUAGUAACUUUCACUUCUACAUACAGGUUUGUCCUUCAAAUUUGGAGGUUUUCCUUUCCAUUUAUAUGAGGUGCGGGAUGAGAAAAGGAGCUUAAGAUUUUGCAGCAUGCUACUUCCCUUAUUAUUCAGCUCUAAGGUUGGAGCAUAAUGAUAAGAUGCUCAGUCAAUCCAUUUAACCUCCUUACUUUAUUUGGGUUUAUGGUGCUCGUAUACUCCUUGUGGCUAAAGCACAUGGAUGAGCCAUAAAUGGCGGGAAAACAAUGUCAAGUUAAUUAAAUUAGGGCUUUUGAAUGAGGAAUAAAGAAUCUUUUUCUGCAGUUUCCGUCUGUGAUUAGCAGAGCCAUUGUGUACAACAUGAAAAAGUUGUUAUGCAAGGCCUGGUAGUACAAUGAUUGUACCAGCCAGCUAGCACCAGCUACUAUAUAAUCCUGAACCCUGUACCAGGAUACCUACUGAAAUGUAAGUAUUAUUCAGUCAUCUUUCUCUCCAAAUUCUCUGCUCUUUCCUAGUUCCCUUCUAUUCUCUUCUUCCUCUUAACCCUCACUUUCUACCUACUGUUUUCCUUCCCCAAAAAGCCACUGUUAUGAGGUCAGCUGAGUUACACAUGAGCCAGUGCCCUGGCAGGAUGCUUUAAGAAUAUGCCUAUUUCUAGUUUGCAAAGGAAUUGAGAAGCCCUUCCAGAGUGAUACUUCUUCUAGUUUCCUUUGGAUCUGUACCCAGUUUCUUUUCUCCUCAGGAGGAUACAUCAUCCUCAAGCUUUGUAUUCUAUUUCUCUUCUUAUUAAGAAAAAUAUGAUAGCAGUAAAAUUAAAUGCACUUAGAAACAUGUUUUACAUGCGGUGGAUAAAUGCAACCUACUAAGAGCAAAAGGAGUGACCUAAACCUUGCAGAGACCGACGAAAGAAAAUAAUGCCUUGUUUCUUUCUAAUAAGAAAAACUUAAAAUCUAAAAUCAAGCACUUAUAUCAACACUCCAUACCGCAUCAGAAAUAUCACAGUGCAGUUUUGUUACUGAAUCACCUCUACCAAGCUCUUCUGUAGAUCCAUAUGCGAUGUACGUUUUAGGACCCAAAUCUGGCUUCAGAACUUCAGGAAGCUUAGUUGCAAGAUUCAGAAGGCCAGAUUUUGGAUGUGUAUAAUCCUUAUAAGGAAGCAUUGCAACAAAUUCAGCACAAUGUCUUGGCAAGCACUCUCCAAAUGAAUUAGAUGGAGGCCAAUCCUUCAGCUUCAACAUCUCAGGCCAACCAUUUUUGUACCAACGUCCCUCUAUGUAACCCUUGAAGAAUCGAAAAAUAUUGAUUUCCACCUGCAGCACGAACAGGUUAAGCAUGCUUGAUUCACAGUUUAGUAUUAUGAGAUAUGAAAAAUAUAAUCCAACUUCCUGCCAGUCUCUAAUAACUGUAUUCUUCUUGUAGUCUACUGAUCAAUUUGACAUCCUCUGAAGUAAGAACUAGAGGACACAGAGAUGUUGUUUUAAUCAGCACAUCCAGGAAUAUAGACUAGAGAGUUAGAUCUUAAACUUCCAAAUUACCAGUUUUGAACAUAAAAAUGUAGAAAGCAUAUCGAGAGCUCAAGAAACUAGUUGUGCACCAUAACAAAGGGCAAGAUUUCAAUUGUUUUAGGAUGAAAUUCAGAUUAAGACACAAAAGAGCACAUACCUCACACCAAUCCCAGCAAUCUAUGGCCUUAAACUUCUGUGCUUCUUCUUUCAUUACCUUUCUUGCACCUCUGAAAGCCCUCCACAUGACCAUUGGGUCCCAACUAAGACCAGAAGCAUUUUCGAGUACAUUUCUAACUAUGACAGGUUCCCCUCUCAUCCAAUGCAUUUGAAAAUGUUGGAUAUCCUUGCCUUCCAAUUGAGUAGCAUCCGGACAGUAUAGAAAGUUAUCAUGACAGUUCUCUCUAUAAGCUGCCCGUCUUGCACCAAAAUCCUUUAUUUCACUUCCUGCAGAACUGAUAGAAUCGCACAAAGGGCAUCUUUCAGAAAAAUCCAGCUUUGGUGAGUGAUAAUUGAUAGUAAGUUCCUCUGCACUCUUAAUCAGUCCAUCAACCCAAUAAGCAUGAAAGAUGCGUCUCAAUGCGAGCUUCUCACUGCCGCAACCUCCCCAUUCUUUUGGAGGACAAAGAAUGCUACCAUCAGAAUCUGAACACCAAUCUGAAAAAGUACAUAACAAGUCACCUGCAUCAUUUUCUAGAAGAACAAGUUGCCUCUCCCAAUCACAGCUUCCAUAGACAGUUGGCAGGGAUCAGCUUAUGUACAUCCAUACCUUGACUAUGUGCACUUUCAGCACGUUGUUGGUGAGAAGAUUCUGCCUCAUCACGUCCAGGAUUAAGUCCUUUUCUUAUCUCCCAACAGCAAGUGAGACAGAGAUCAUAAGAACAAUUAGGAUUUGUGCAGCUUCUAUGGAAAUUGACAAUGGAUGUUUUGCAAUUGUCGCUGUCAAAUGAGGAUAUUUUCAGUCAAUUUUCUUACCAAUGACAAAUAACCCAACAUCAAGGAGCUCAAAAUGAUACCAAUACACUCUAUCAUCAUCAUCUAGCACAGAUACGAGUAUAUCCUCUUCUCUCAUCUGGACACCUAUGAAAAAAGAAGAAAAACAGAAAUCUGAAGUCAAAACCAUUUGGCAAAGAAAGAAACUAAAACUUCUGACCAAAAAAUUUAAGUUUUACAAUACCACGUAUGUUUUCUUCAACUGCUAAUUCAGAGUUCUGCUCCUGCUGAAUGUGCCGAAGGAUAGGCAGCGUUUUGUGUAAGAGAUGAAUCAGCUUUCGUAACUGGACGUUUGUAUCAACCUCUUCGUCCCCAGCCUGUCAUAGCAUUGGGAUGAACAAGGCAUGCUUACAAAGUUUUCACAAAAAAUGAGUAAAGAGAAAGAGAAUGCAAACCAGCACAACCACAUCUUCCUUCAGGCAUACUCUGCAAUUGCAAUUGCCCCGACAAAACGGGCAAGCAACCUCUAUUUCCUCUCUUGUUUUCUCAGGGUACCUAAUUCAUUUUCCUUCAAGAAACAAUUAGGACCAGUAGAUGAAACCCAAAUCAAAUUUAGCAAAAUGGAAACGGAAAAGGGAUAUUAACAAAAACAUUAAUUAGAAGUUCCUUUACUAACUAGAUCAAACUCAACUUCCAUUUUCUAAGUUCUGUGAAUUGAAUGGGAUGCUACAAUAAUAAGAAACUGGUAGUGUAUCAAUGAUCAAAUAAAUGCAUUGAAUUAAUGGGGUUUCAGUAUUUUAUCUGAGCUUUUGACGAUAUAUUAUUACCAUUUGGCAAGGCACUUGUAGCAAUAGCGUUUCUUUUGGCAACUGGAGCAAAUCACAACACCACUUUGAUCAGUCCUCAAACACUGGUGGCACAUCAAACCGCUUUGCUUCUUUUCCCAGCUGCUAAAAUCCUAAUAAGAAACCCACUCAAGCACUAUAAUAUACUAUCAUAAUCAAUAGACAUUCACAAUUAGCAGUUCAAAGUACAUGCAUCUAUUACUUCUUUUCUUCCCUUUAGAAGAACGGCUGAGGUUGUAAGGAAGAUUUAACCAGAAUAAAGAGAAUGCAAUAAUGUUCUUUUAUAGUUCAGCUGUCAAUAAUUUAAGUUUAACAAGCUUGUCAAAAAAACAAGAGUGAGGAUUUUGCACAAACUCACAGAAAAUCCUGAAUUUUCUGAUUCCUUGAUGGACUUCUUUGGCCUUCCCCUACCUCUCUUCUGAUGAUUACCAAAAUCAGCAGCAGUCUUGUCUUCCAUAUUGCCCCUAAGACCCCCAUUUUGUCCCAAAUGUUCUCCUCCUUUCUGUUCUAUCUUAGUGUGGUGGAUAGGAAUUGCAUUCUUCUGUACCAAAAUCUUCUCUAAAGCCUGACCAAUAAGAACUGUCCGCUGGUUCCUUGAAAAUCUUGGUUGGCCCUGCUCAUGCUUCUGCCUGCUUUGCUGCUCAUCAUUGCCCAAUACUUCCCUAUUUUUUUGGCUUUCCCCUUCUCGUCUAUCCCCAGUUAACAACUUAUCACAUGAAUGUGAGAUGUCUUGUUUAUCCUUUGACCAGAAAUUUCCAGUUCCACCUUCAUUAUCACCUCCAGUUGGCUGAUCAUUCUCCCUUCUACCAUCAUUGGCACCAGGAGAUCCUGUAGGUGUUUCAUUAUCUUCCUUACUUCCAAGAUAAUUCCUCUCAUUCUCUAAAUCCCCAAGCCUAAGAAUCUUAUCACCACAAUGACUGCCAGGAAGCCACCAAUUUGCAUCACCAAUCCUAUUUUCACUAACACCAUGUAUUUUCCUUAUGUUUUUCGAGCCCUUUGGCCUACCAGGCCUCCUCUUUGGCAACUUGUAGUCAUUUCCCUCCCCACUAACACAGGAUGUCUCCCUUGGCACUCCCUUAUUUUCAUCACCUACAUGNNNNNNNNNNNNNNNNNNNNNNNNNNNNNNNNNNNNNNNNNNNNNNNNNNNNNNNNNNNNNNNNNNNNNNNNNNNNNNNNNNNNNNNNNNNNNNNNNNNNNNNNNNNNNNNNNNNNNNNNNNNNNNNNNNNNNNNNNNNNNNNNNNNNNNNNNNNNNNNNNNNNNNNNNNNNNNNNNNNNNNNNNNNNNNNNNNNNNNNNNNNNNNNNNNNNNNNNNNNNNNNNNNNNNNNNNNNNNNNNNNNNNNNNNNNNNNNNNNNNNNNNNNNNNNNNNNNNNNNNNNNNNNNNNNNNNNNNNNNNNNNNNNNNNNNNNNNNNNNNNNNNNNNNNNNNNNNNNNNNNNNNNNNNNNNNNNNNNNNNNNNNNNNNNNNNNNNNNNNNNNNNNNNNNNNNNNNNNNNNNNNNNNNNNNNNNNNNNNNNNNNNNNNNNNNNNNNNNNNNNNNNNNNNNNNNNNNNNNNNNNNNNNNNNNNNNNNNNNNNNNNNNNNNNNNNNNNNNNNNNNNNNNNNNNNNNNNNNNNNNNNNNNNNNNNNNNNNNNNNNNNNNNNNNNNNNNNNNNNNNNNNNNNNNNNNNNNNNNNNNNNNNNNNNNNNNNNNNNCUCAACCAGCACCUUGGAAUUCACUAACAUUGUUAAUUUAUUCACCAUAAAGAUUAUUUCUCUUAUUUUUAGAACCCUUUGGCCGACCUCGCUUCCCCUGAGUUAUCACAAUCAUACUUCCUUCUCCAGUACCUUCAGUCACUCCAGGCAGUCCAUUGUCAUCCUGCCCUAAAAUUAUAGUCCCUUCAUUACCUAAACCUUCUGACAUAAAAGUUUUAUUCCAAGUACCAUCAAUACAUGCAAAUUUCCCAUUCUCAUUCUUUGAAGAUUUUGAUAAGCAUUCCUCACCCUCCUCGUAGAUAUGAACAUUGAACAGAUUUUCUACACCAGUCACCAGCAAAGGGUCAGCCUUUUCAUCCUCAACGCCCGCAUACACACUCACCAUUCCCUGAUUCUCUUCAGCAGCAUGACUUUUCUUUUUAUUCUUGGAUCCCUUUGGCCGACCUCGCUUUCGCUUUGCCAAUGGAGUCUCAUUUCCUGUUCCUCCACCACUUCCAGAGACCUGACCAAGCAUUUCCUUAACUUCUUCUCCACUCAGAAAAACAUCUCCCCCGUUCUGCAAACCCAAGGGGACAACACCAUGAUCCAAAUUGUGACCGGGAUUAACUAUUUUAGUGGGCGUUUCUGGAUAUACACCUGCAAGAUUUCUGUUCUUCUUGCAGUUUGAAUCGGUUGGCCGGCCUCGUUUAGUGUUUUUUGAUCCCUUUGGCCUACCAGGCUUACAUUUGACAUCUACAUUCUCACCACAAUCUCCGUUUUCAAUACAUCCCCCUUGAUUUCCUUCACUAGCAAAAGUUUCAGCACCGUCUCCUCCAGCAAUUUCACCAAACAAGCUCUUGAUUCCUUUACUAUCAAGACUAGCACAGUCAGCUUCACCGCACCAACACUGAAUUCCUUCACCAAUAUUCACAUCAUUAAACUCACCAAACAAGCCUUGGACUGGAACUGGCACCCCUUUACUCUCAUUUGCACCGCUAACUUCACCAAAUAAGCUUUCAAUCAGCUCUUCAUCACCAAUCAUACCGCCAUUUCCACAUGCAACCUCACAAGACCCGCCAACUUGAAGAAUCCCUUGACGCGCAAGAACACCUGCACUGCCUUCUUCAACAAACCAUGGUUCUGAACCUUUGCCUUCAAGAACCCCAACACGACUCGCACCAUUAUCUUCGCUAUACCCACAUUGAGCCCAGCAAGGAGCUUCACUAGACCCACCGACUUCAACCCGACGCCCACGAUCUUCACCGCCAUUAUGCCCCAAGCUGCAAAUUCUGACCCCCAUCUACACUACUCCCGUCGCCGAACCAAUUUGUAUCGUCAAGCCAGCCUUGAAUUCCUCCACGAUCUCCAAAACCCAACACCCCAUUUGCAGCAACGCCAUCGUCUCGACCGCAGUCCUUCCCGGCCACCGUUGCCGCCGAAAUCCCUCCACAACCCGGUUGCGUUCUCUUCCUUUUCUGCCGACCCACUUCAUCCCCGUCCCUCUCUUCUCCUCCUCCCGCUUUCUUCUCCAUUUGCUCUCCGCUCCUUUGUAGGAUUUGCAGUCUCUCUCUCACAGUUAACUUUUUUUCCGCUCAAACCCUCUGGCAGUACUCCACCCGCAACCUGCCGAACCCGUCCACUCGUACUUUUUGUUACUGAGUAGCACGUGAGAGUGGUCCACUAUCGUCCCCUCCAUUACCUCGAGAGAUUAGAUACACAAAGAAUGGACCCAGUAACCCAACUUUUUUCUCUUUUGAACAGGACUCCUAAUAGAAGAGUAAAUGAGAAUUAUCAAGGGUUCGAGCUAAAACCCUUAAUGAACCCAAAAAAAUAAAAAAAAGCAAAGAACUUUUCGAAGUUCAUAAUCAUGAUGACUCAUAACAACGCAGUUAAUGCUCUGCUGUCGCAGUUUUCAAGACGGGUUUUUUUUCUUUGGAAGAGAGAAAAGGGGACACAGUAUUGUGGCAUGAUAAAGUUGGAAGGCAUUUAUGUCCUGUGAUGCGGGUGGGGCAGUGAUUUAGGCAAGGAGGGGGGGGUUAGGACAGCAGAGUUGGGAUCCAAGUGAUUUUUUGAUUUGGUUUUGUUUAACAAAAUUUUAGGUGCGAUUAUUGAAAAAACACUUGCCUCGUUUAUGCCAACCGGAAGACUCAUCAAACCCAAACAAAAUUUUAGGACCAAAAUGCCCUAAAGAUGUUCUUGGUGUGGGCUACGUGUAGGAAGUCCAAUAUGGUAAUCUAACUUCAAAUAAAACUAUAUAAUCUUUGUAGUUAAAAUUUUAGUAUUUUCAAAAUAUAAUCAAUUUUGUAACAAGUAAACAAUACAAUCAAUUACACAAAUUAAACAAAAUUGCAUUUUGAUAAGGAAAAUUGAAAACUAUAUAAUAUAAUUGAUAUGAUUUGAUCUCGAUACUAUAAAUUUUUUAUUUAUUCUCAUUCGAUCAUAAUAAAAAAAAAAGUUAAUACAAAAACUCGAAAUCGUUAAAUUUUAAAAUAAUCAAAGUUUGAACUGAUAAUUUCUAUUGUAGUAAAGUAAUAUUUUACUGUUAAGUUAUACAUGUUUUUAUUUUAAAAAAAACCCAAUGUUACUAUUAUUAAAUAACUCGAACUCAAAUUUGGUAAAAUGAUGAAUCAUUAUUGAAAAAAAAAAAUUUACUUAUUCUCGUUCAAUUAGUUAGAUCGUAGGUAUGAUAGAUUUAGUUAAUGGACGAAGAAUCUUGUUUAAAUUUAGGAUGGUCCGACUAAGCUAAGAAAAAUAACAAGAAGAAGCAUAGGACUCUUUCAUCCAUGCUCCAAUUAGGUGGAGGGAAUCUUCCAUUGCUUUUGUGAAGAGAAAGAAAUGAAGUGCAGAGCGGAUAGACUUCUCUUGGGUUGAAAAGUCAGAAAUACUGUUACAAAGUUAUCCAUGACUGUCUUUCUAGUACAAUAAACACUGAAAGAGUUUAUGGAAGAGAACCUUGCGCCAAUACACAAGAAUGGUUCCAUGGUCUAGUGGUCAGGACAUUGGACUCUGAAUCCAGUAACCCGAGUUCAAAUCUCGGUGGAACCUACAUUUUUAAAAACUGUUUUCUGGGAAAAAACCAUUUUGUCUUCUUUCAUCUUUUUUGUUUCAUCCAAGGCUAUAUUGACCUUCAAAAAGAUCAUUCAAAUUAUAUACACAGACAACAGUGAGUUAAAUAUGAAUGUAUUGGUUAAAUUAUAAUUCAUGUAGGGUUGAAAGACCAUGAAUUGAGAUAAAGAGGCACCAACUAUUUUUGGAUCUUAACAUGAGCAGUUUGAUCAAACAAAAAAUCCAUAUUAUUAAGUCAAACAAAUGCCAACAAUCAAACAUUUCAUUUGCUUUCUUUCAAUUUCUCCUCUUCCUUCAUUUUCUUCUCCCACCUGCGCUUCUUGUAAGCCAGCAACAUGUCGGGCAUCUUCUCCAUCAAUUUCGCUGUAUUUUCGCGCUUUUCAGCAGCUAUUCUAUCGCACUUGUGCCCUUUCCUCUUGGUUCUCAUCUCUUUUCUCUCUGGGUCAUAUGGCCAAUCUUCCCCAGCAAGGAGGACUUCCUUUCGCAGUCUAGCUCGGUGGCGAGCACUUAUGCCUAGAGGUUUCCAUGCACCCAACUCCCAGUAUCCCCAGACACCCUUGGACAGCUCGUUUUUGUAUUUACCCAACUUAUCGCGCCAUGGAUACUGAUACUCCCCGAUGGCCUUCGCCACAGAUUGUACUGCUUUGCCAGCCAUUACCUUUUAGAGAUUCCAAAAAAAGAUCACAUAGAGAGGAAUGCGUAAGCCACAUACACAAGAAAGUAUAUAUUACAGUAAAAGUUAGUUGCAUUUACAAAAGUCUAUUAGAUUUCAAUUCUAUUUAUUGAGAUCAACUAUUUGACAUAUAAAAUUUAGUAAUGAUUUACACAUUUAACGAAUAACUGACCCAAGUCCACUCAUAUCUUUAAUUUCAUAAUGAUAGAUUUGUAUUACUACUUGAUUAUAAAAAAUUCACCAAAAAAAACAACUUGAAUUGGACAGAAUUAACUUGAAAUUAGAAUUUUUAAAAAUUUCAAUUUAAAUGUUCAUAUGAUUUGCACUAUAUUCUCAUUUCUAAUUAUCAAAUUGAAACUCAAACCAAACUCAAUCUAAAUUUCAAGAGGAAGUUCAGAAUAACAAAGGCUCCACAAUAUAACCAAAAAAAAAAAAAAAAAAUGGAUGUGUACCCCAAGGAAAACUUGGCAAACUUAAAAAGUAAAAGAGAAUCAAACACAGGAGGCAUGCUGAUGAUCAAGCACUAAUCAACAGCCAAUAUAAUCUUUAGAAACACAGGAAAGGAAAACAAAGGAACUAAUAAAUGCAUAAUAUGUGGAGAAUGCAAACUUAGAGAUAGGUGGUUUAAAUAUUUUGGGUAUUUCAUAUUGGGGCAUGACAUCAUUAGAGAUGAAGAUUUUGAAGAUGUCAUUGAUACCCCUUACUUCACUGUAAAUUCUUGUGCAUCCGGGCGGUACCCCACUUUGGUGCCAUUCUAAUAUGUUAUUAACUUUUUCUUUAAAAGAAGAAAUAAUAUGUGGGUCGGUCUAUGCAAAUUGAUUACAUAGACUAUACUGAUAGCUACGUUUUCGAAAACCAAGUUUUCCUUCUCCUAAUCAAAAGGAAAUUUCAGUGCAAGAAUUGAGUUCUGCAAUGAUCUUCUCCUUAUAAAGACAAAAGACAAGCUAUAUAGAAGGUCCUCAAGUAAUCAAAAAUGAUUUUUUCUCAUUAACUGCAAGAAAUAAAAAGGAAGACAAGCAAGAAAAUUCUUCUGCCAGACAAGACACCAAUGAAAUCUUGUAGCUUCUAGCAACAAGUUAACCCUUAUACCAAGUCAAAGACCAUACAGGCUUAUCCUUAGGUCAGGAAGAAUAAUAGAACACAUAUCUAAUCAUCUAAGAGAAGCAAAUGUUCCAUCCCGGUGGGUACUGGGUAGGCCACACUAUAAGCUCAACAGUAAGUAAAAAUCAUUAGUAGCUAAGAUGAUGCCUCGAGCAGCUCAUACAGAGACUAAAAGAGAGAAACAGAUGAAGGCAGCUUAUUACAUAAAAAGUGAACCUCAUUAAAUAUCCAAAUCUUUGGAUUUAAACCCACCUAGGGAGUUUUUCUUCCCUCUACCCAAAAUCCACCUGGAACAAAGUGGGCUUUUGGGUUGUCUUCCUUAUAUCAAUCCUUCAAACAAAAACCAUAUCUCAGAGAAGUAUUCAAUUGAGACUGAUGGAAUUCUUGACAAAUUAUUCACGGAAUUCUCUAAUAUUCAAGCCCAGUCUCAGUAAUUAGUGUUUGCUCAUGAUACAGGUGAAACCUGUACCCUCAGCACAAAGCCCACACAAUAAAUUCUACAAAGGGAAACGAGAAAUGGAGAAGGAAGAAAAGAGAGAGUUUUUUUUUUUAGAAAAGAAGAAAAAAGACAAAGAAUACAGUUUAUUAAACAAAGACGUGGGAACUUAAUCCAAAGUUAUGAACUUCAUUGCUAUUCCCCCAAUUCGCACAACCUGCCAUUUCUUUUUCCUUAACAAUUCUGGAACUACUACUCCUAAUUCCCAUUAACUGUUUUCGAAUAACCGCGCGCCUAACUUUCGAUUGGUCUAAUUAACCAUUUCCUUUAGAUUUCAGAAGUUUACACAUCAUUCCAAUCGAAGAACGAGCCAAGCAGUAAAAGAACGCGGAGAUAUAGCAAGCAAGCAUCGAUGUUCUCCCUUUAGAAUCUACUGCAACAAGCUCGCAACUCCUAAACCAAACAGCUAAUAACUUUCCCCCAUAUCAGCUUAAUCAGUGUUUGCUAAUACACAAGUAUCCGAAGUUGAAUACAUAUUCAUAAUUAUCACCUAUCGUAACAAGAAAUUUCAGUCUCCUGAUCUAGAAUUUCUUGCAGACUAUAAAAAAAUAUAAAACACAUGAUAUGAAGAAAGAGUACCAGCAGUACACAAAGAAGAUUGAAAUCGAAUCAAUACGGAUGGCAACGGUGAUACGCCAAGUGAACGGAAGGCGUAGAAGUACGACGCAUGUAGACAGCACUAUCUCUGUAACCUAGGGAGUGGGAGGACGAAGAUGGUAGACGGGCAGUUUCAGCUGAGGGUCUGAGGAGAAUUGAGGUUAGGGCAGAAAGAGAGAAAAAAAAGUAAGAGAAACAAUUAAAAUUAAAUUAAAACAAUAUAGAAAUCACUUUUUUAAAAAAUAAAUCUUACUGUAUUUACCGUAUAUUCUCAAUUGAAUUAAAAAAUGAUUUAUAAAAUUAUAAUUUUUGAUUUGUACAGAUUUAUCAAGAAUUAAUUGUUUUUAUAUCUUUAAUUAAAUUAAAUUAAAUUAAUUAAUUUUCAAAAUAACAUUAUUCAUAAAUUUAUAAUUAUAAUUUUAGAGAUUUAUAAAAAAUUUGUUGCUUUAGUUGAAAUUAAAUUUAUUUUUUUAAAAAAAAAAAGUUAAAAAGAGCAUUAUUUAUAUUAAUUUCUGUGUUUUCAAUUUUUUUUAUUGUUCUAGUGCAAAUUUCUUAAUUUCUAAAUCUGUUCAAAACAUAACUUCAUACAUUGUGUACUAAUAACAUUACAUAUGAGAAUUAAGUGAAGAUAAAAUUCAAAAAUUUAUAAUUUUGAAAAAAAACCCACCUUCAAAUGAAUAAAAAAAUACAUAUAUUUUAAAUAAAUUAUAGAAAUAUAAUUUAUUUAUCUGACAUGAAACCCAUAAUGAAAUCUAACAAGGCCUCUCAGCCAGAUGGGUACGUGCAUUCUUUGUGUGUGGCUACACAAAAUAUAUAGAAAUAAUACUUGUAGGAGCAAAAUAAGAAAUUUUACUGCAGUAACAUUUGCAAACUACUUAUUGAGACUCGAUAACUUAUCUCAAGAUUCACAUUCUGAUUUCACAGAGGCAGGUUUGAUACCACCCACAAGCUUUAGGUACUUCGUUUUUCUCUUGCCAAAUUUCUUGGUAGCUUUUUUAUGAUAAUUAGUUACUUCCUGUAUUUUGAGGUUAACUUUUUCCAAAUCUACAUUCUUCUCCUUAAUUUGUCUCGAGAUCUUUGUACUUUCAGGAGAUUCAUGUAUCUGAACUGGAAAAUAUAUUUUAGAAUUCCUGAAAAAAAAAAAACAAUCGGCAAAAACGAUAAAUGAGAUUACAGAGAUUACGCAACACCAACGCAAUAUAAAAUUUACUUAAAACUUUAACUGUUACAUGCACAGAUUAAACCUGAUCAAAUAAGAUUCUUAUUAGUUUUAAAGACUAAAUACAUAUAAAGGUAUGUGUAAACAAUGGCACCGUACCCCAAAAAGCUAUUUAGUAAAAUUUUAGGCGAAACCAUAUAUUGAAAUUAAUUAUGUGUUCUAGAUUCGGUAUAUGUCAUGCAAAUGUCCAUGAGUAAAUGCUAGUGUGCGUUUGGAAUGGAGAACAAGAAAAUGUGUUGCAUACCGAACUCCAAGUGAAACAAAUCCAUUCGGCUUCAAAAUUCCACCAUCUAAAGAUACAGCACCAUGAUUUAUAUAUGCACGAGCAACUUCCAUAUGCUUUCUCGUUUCAUACACCUGAACCUCACCGAAUAGACUGUAGAAUAGGGUCUCCCUGAGACCAUGGUUUGCAGCCGUUCUUGUAUUUUUUAAGUGAUGAGCAUCUAUGUUUAUCAUAUUAACUGCAUACCCCAUGAAACCUGGUAGAAUUUCCCCAGUUGGUAAGGUAGGAUCUGGCAAGGCUAGCUUUUCUUGAGGGUCAUCCCUUAUAAACUCCCCUGUAUAAGCUCUGUGCAUUAUAAGAAUGAAUGACUUGCGCGUUUUAUGAUUUUUUCUGGAUAUAUUCAGUUCUUAAAGUCCAAUUUGAAACUGCAAUUUUGAAAUUCUACAAACAUACCUUACAUCCUCAAGGCAUAUAACAAGAAAUCGGUCAUUUAUAGACUUUCCAAGAGCUGCAGCUUCAGCAUGAAGACCGAGAUUAUAAUUAACUUCUCCAUCUUGGUUGUAAUACUCAAGCUCACGUGCAGCUUCAGAGGAUCUACACACCACAGCAAACAGCUGAUCUUCACCCAAGUAUUCAGCCAAUAUUCUGCAUUGAGAAAAAUGUCAAUAUAAUAAAAGAAAAUACAUUAUAGGAUGUACUACCCUGUUUUGCGAAACCCGUGCCCGUUCAAUCUUAUGCCUGUUUGGUUAUCCGCUAUGAAGCCUUAUGUGUGUAAACCAUCCACCUGAUAAAUUCUUCAUUAAACAAAUAUGUGGCUCUUCAAAUAUGUCUCUUCUCAACAAGCAACAAAAAAGAGCAGCAGCAGUGCCACCCUUGUUCUCGAUCCUUUUGAUGAUUUCAUCUCGUGUGCACAAGCAGUCCAGAUUAUCUGAAAUCAUUUGAGGGAAACAUUGGGCCGAGUUAAUGCAUUUUCACCAACUAUUCACGAAAUGAACAAGUUCCAGUAUCUUCAACUAACAAAUUAAUAAAGCAAAUAAUAAUUUGAACCAUAAAAAAAACAAAGCCCCACGUAAGAUAACAUCUAACAGUUUCAUAAGUGGUAAGUAUUCUAUGCAAUGUAGACCACCUGUUACCUAGAUUAUGGCCUAAAAAUGUCCUUAAUCAAAUAAUAAUUCAUGACAAUGGAAGAAUCUCGAUAGUGGUCUUUGGUUAAUGUUUAUACCUAAAUAUAUCUCACCUGGCAACAUACCGUGACAAUUGCAGUAAGAAGCAACAGCUUAAAUAAAAUAUAAACGUGCAGCAAGAGUUCAAGGAAUUGAUCUGCCCAGAGUGUGGCCGCAAUUACAUACAGUUUAAAUGUAAAGUAUAGUACUGCCGCAAUUACUUAUAAAAGUAACAAAACUAGAUUUUUGACAUGACAAAAAUCUCCACGAAUGGCAAUCAUAAAUUCACUUUCUCUGAUUCGAAUAAUCUGUUUAUUAUAAUUGUUUAAAUAGUAAUUGUCAGAAAUAGUACUGCAGCCUCAACCACGGUGUGCAUCUCAAUAAUGUUUCCUUAACCAUCUUGCAUCUUGUAAAAAAAACAAACUGGUGCAUGAUUCAAGAAGAGCUAACAACCAAGACCUUGCAAAACACCCUUCUCGUGCUCGACUUUUGCCUUAAAACCAUUUAGAAGUUCCAGCUGAUUUUCAAGUUUCCCAAUAAGCAAACCAUAUUUCUCAAUUCCAUCUGCAAGCACCUGCAGAAACCAGUAUAAGACAUUGGAUUCGAUUGCUAUACUAAAUAUUUCCAUCCAAUAAAACUACAGUUUUGCAUUGAGGCCAAAUAUUUUUAUCUGGAAGCUGAUAAACAAAUAGGAUAAAUCCAUCAUGCCUUCUCAUUAUUCAUCAAUGAUACCACAUUAGCUGCAUGACCGUUUGAGGAGUCUUCGAGCAGCAAACUUUUUCUAUAUAAACAAGAUGAUUGAUACUCAUGCCAGCUCACAUUUGUAGCAGGCUCUAAUUCUGCAGUUUUAGCUGUCUCAACACGAAUCUGAAAAUAAAAUAAAAACUAAGCAAUAUGGAACUUUAGAUCGCGAGAAGGAAAAUAACUAAAUGUUGCUGCGACCUUGACAGUAAGAUGCAGCUCUGCAUGACGAGAAUGAGAAACUUCAAAGCAAAUUGUCCCUUCAUUCUUAGGGAGAGGGAGAAACGGAACAGUGCAGCGUCCAUGUAUAAAAGCAUAUUGAAACAACUGAUUCUUAUUAAAUGACUCCGACUUUAUUGUUAGAGUAUGGGCUCCAUUGCAUUCCUCAUCGUAAUGGAUAGUUCCAUCAACUUCGUCAUUAGAGUCAACAAUUUCAAAAACUACAUUUUCUAAGUGAGAGCCUGCAACGCAGGAUUCAGGUACCUAAUAACAUAUAUUCCAUCAAAAAGAUGAGCAGAGAAAAUGCAACUUAAUAUGGGAAAAAAAAAAAGAGAAAGCAGCGCUUUACUAACCCCUGAUGCAACCAUGAGCUUUCUUGUUUCAGUUUGAAACUCUUGCUUGAAAAUUGCUUUACUAUCAGACAAAACAAUAAGCGAUGCUGCGAAGCAGUGAAAACAUGCAACUCUCAUAUACAAAUGAUAUAUCCAAAAGCACAAAAAUUAGUAACUGCUGAAUAAAAGGGAGUAUGGAAAGAAAGAAAAUCAAAACUUUAAAAAACAUUCACAUUGAUGUCUGGACAUGCACCAUACUUUCAAAUGCCAUGAUGAAAAUGUGUAUGACAAAGAGGCAGACCAGACAAUCUACAAUACACUAUACUAAUUAGCCCUGAGUGGAAACUUCCUGGCAUGAAAAGCUUGUGAAAAGAAACUGCUGUCAAAAUAGCAGUUGAACUACGCAACUCGCUCUCCUACUUAUCAGAAUUCAGUACGAUCAUGAAAGUUUCAAAAAGAAAGAAUCAAAUUAUAGCUCCAUUUUUCAUAAUACUAUAACAUUCUAGUUAAAUUUAUCUCCCUAGUUAGUUAUUUUGUUUGUGGAAAUUUGCUCAUUCAUUUUAUCAAUAAUAAGAUAGCACCACCUUGCAUGUCAUCCUUGGAUAGAGCGACAAAAGCAUUAUCAUGGAGCAAAAAGCUGUUAAAUAUGCAUACCACUUUUUCCAUAACCCACAUUUACUUUCAGAACUCCACUGAGGUCUACAUAUCCAAGAUCAUUCACCUACAUGGUAAAAAUUCUACUAUCAAAACUUCGAAGUUAAAUAAUAUCCAGACAUUCAACCAUGAAAAUCUAACUAAUUAACAAUGUGAUCUAACAAAUAAAAUUUGCAACAUUUUCUUCAUAUCCAUCACAUCUAAGAACCUUGGAAUAAACUAACUUUUGUGGGCAAUUUCCAGCUCAGAUUAAGUUCAUAAAUUUAGAUGACAAAAAUAGCAAAAUAUCUAAGGUACAGCAUGGAAAAUUUGAAUAAUCUAUAUAUCAUCACUCUCCUAAAAGUUUGGCCCAUGAUGGAAAGAUAUAAUAUUCUCUUCAAUUUUUGUGCACGGCAAUCACCAAUUGUGAAUGUGGAAUAAUACGAAUCUUAAUUAUUGAUACUAUAGAAGGAAACAAACCUAACUACCAUAGUUUUGCAUUAUGAGGUAUGAUAUUAUUUCUUUAACUAGAACAUUUGAAGGAAUAUGCUAGAAAAUAUGCAGAAGGGAAGCAUAAACAACCUUAUGCUUUCGGCCUAUCUGGCCUUGGAUGUGAAAUCCAUCCACAUUCAAUUCAACUUCGGAGCCUUCUAUAAUAUGAUUACCAUAUUCAUCAAACAUCUGGAAGAAUGGAUAGGAAAAACAUAUAAGUGAGCAUGAACAAGCAAGUUCUGCCUCCAAAAAAUUUCCAUUAUCCAAAUGAAAUGACUACCGAUCCACAAAAACACUUGAUCAUUCGCCAGUGUAUAAAUACAAAUGUACAAGAUCCAAAGCUGACAUUAAACUAUGCUGAAUAAUAAGUCCAAAGGAAAAUAAUAAGAAAGAAAAAGAAGAUUAUGUACAGUGCCUAAAUACCUCCAACAUCAAAUGGCUAAUCACACAACCAGGAAGCAAGUUAUUCCUCAAUGUUGGUGACCAUACAAUGACAUGCCGCAAAGAUCCCGGUACAACUAACAAAAAUUAGAAAACAAAACGUUAUCUAGGAAGAAAAAGAAGUAUGGUGUAUGCAUGCAACUUUAAACAAUCAAUAAUUCUGUUUCCUGUAUCAAUGUAGACCAGCAUACUUUCACAUGGAAUGGAAACUGAAACCAACUCAUCUUCUUGAUAUAUCACCAACGUUGCAGCAUAACUUGGUCUGAUCCUGUCUAACUCGUUGCUAUGAAUUAGUAUAUUCUGCACAGGCAAAAAGAAAUCCAAGUAAUAACAAAAAUGACAAUUUAUAUUCAUAUUGAUGUACAUAAAGGGCAAUGUCAAAAGGAGGGGCAAACAGCAAGUUUCUUACUGUUCAUACCUCAAUCUUAACAAUCGAUUUAUCAUAUGAAAGCUUAACCUUCACUUUAUCUAUCUCAAUGCAUAAACCGUUCGUUGUAAUAAGUUUGGCGAUCACAGAUGGGGUAGAAGUAAAAUGAAUUCGAUUCCCAUAGAUGUCAUAACAAGCAAUGGAGCAAGGUGGGAAAGAUGAACCAACCCUGUAAAACAUGGAUAAUUCUUUUGAGUAAUGGUUGGCAUUAAUAUCAAAAUUUUCACAGAAGACUUCUUCAAUUGAAAAUUCAAGAGCCAAGUGCCCUUACUGGAUAGAAUAUGAUGUAUUCUUUUCAUGAUUUAUAAUUUUCCACUCUCCAACCUCAGAUGAUGCCUUAACAAGAACAUGUUUUACACAUGUCUCGCAACCUGACUCUGGCUGAUGUAUAAGAGUUCAUUAAAUCAGAUUAUAUAGAUAAUGCACAAAAAUGAAAUAACAAAAUGAAAUAACCUGUGAUAACUUACAAUGGAGAAAGUAAAUGUAUAAACACCAGCAUUCUCAAAUAAUUUUGGGAACCUACAUCCUAGCGAAAAGAUGUAUAAACCAUGAAACCCUUUAAGAGAAGAAGGUGCUGAACGUCCUGAGUAAAUAUGUUGAUCAUCUUGAGACUUGACUUCUCUUCUGAAUUUGACUUCCAAAAGCAUUUCAAAGUUGCUCUUGAUAAUAAACUUUUGAUCCAAGUUCUUAGAAGCACCCGAAGAAUCAAAAUUACCAGGUCGGAUAACGGCCACAAAACUUGGUGGAACUUGUCCAGCAAGAACUGGAUCAUGAGAUAACGCCUGGAACAGAAAUUAGUAAUGAGUAUAGUUGCUAAAGCUUAAGAGAAAGGAACAGUCUAGAGCUCAAUGUGGAUACUUCAGUUUACCUCCAAAAUUAACAGGUAGAAAAACUACAUGAAAACUAAGGUUUUACGAUCUGUUCAAAGAGCACUUUCAAAGGUAUCCAAAAGCCACAACUUCUAUGUAGUAAAUAAUAGAUGGAAGAAACAUACCCCACCAAAUUCCAACUCUUGACAGUGUUUCUCAUUCAGCAGAUCAAUCAUAGAUGGGGCUUUCUGCUUUUGUUUCUCGAGGCGAUCCACCCACUCAUUUUUUUCAAUGGCACAACACUAGAAAUGGAUUAGAAUUUAGCAAACGAUUCCUUACAUGUAAAUAUUUUACACAUAGAUCAUACCCGAGGAAAACAUAGAAGUAAAUGGCAAACCUUUCCGCAAUCAAUGAUACUAAUUGGAAAGGAUAACGAAUUACGAAUAUCUAACCGAGCAUUCCCGUCAUUCACUUCAAGGAUACAACCACUCUCAUCUGGCACACCCAGUGGCCUUCACACACCAAAAAUGAAAAAUGUAUAUAUUUCACAAGAAAACAAUUAUAAAAAUUAGAAGUUUCAACAAACAAAGAGCCUUUGCAGCAGAAAAUGAAUAAGAAAACAUACCUGCAUAUAAUUCGAGCUUCCCCUGUCCAAAACGUAAAAAAGAGAAAAUACAGUCUAUAAUCAGCAGGAUUUGGGCAAAGUUGAGUUCAUGAGAGACUGGAAAACAUACUUUGUUUAAUCAUCAACAACGAAGAUUAAUGGUCAAAUAUUAUUAGAAAUAUUAACCUUACCACCAGCAUCUCCCUGAAAUCCUUCAAUUAAAAAAUAUUCUAAUGUUGCAUAGACAUUAUUCUUCCAGCACCCAGCGCAAGCUCCCUUCAGAACCUUUAUGUUUUGCCCAUAUUUCCAUAAUAACCCCUUCCUCUUGAAAAUCCUAUGCACCCUUACAACUAUAUUGAACAGGAAUAAGUGUGAAACAAACAGAACAAGAAAGACUAGAAAAGAAUAUAAAAAUGGUAGAAAUAAGUUGAUUGGCUACAUGCUAAAAGAAGCUCAGCAAUAAGCAUUGACAAUCUGAUGUUAUUUGUAUGUGAAAUGGAAAUCCCUGGUAAUUGAUGCCUACCAUCUGAUGAAAUGCCAAGCUCCUUCUUAUUCAGAGGGCUUAUGACAAGAACCGGUUCAUCCUCACCAGAAUUGAUCUCCUCAUCAUGGUCAUCAUGCAUCUGAAGGAUCCAAUUCUGAUACUCUUUUUCUAGUUGUGAAGGGUUUAUUUGUCUUCCAGAUCUAUGAACUUCGAUUGUUAUAUCUAGAAAUUUUAAAUUACACAAUUAAGCAUGAACAUUAUAGCAUCAACGUAACAAAAUAACAAGAAGUUCCAUCCUUGCAAUCAACAAAAAAAAAACUAAUACCUUUCUCCUUUUCAACUGACUUACUGCCAGAGUUCUUCUCUUUUUCAAAUGACUUACUGCCAAAAUUUUUCAAAGCAAUGGUAAAAAGGUUGUGGUGUGCUAGAUCCGUCUGCAAAUCAAUGCCUUUAUUCAUUAUCUUGUAAGUGGAUAAGGAACAAAAUGACAAAAGAAUGACGAAAGAGGACAUGACAGCCAGCAACAUAUGUAUAUAUAUGUAUAUAUAUAUAUUGUGUCAGAACCAAGGAACCUAAUACUGAAAACUCAAAUACAACUGUAAAAUGUGGAGUUGCAGAUCCAACAUGAUACUGAAAGCUGUGGAUGUAUCUAUAACAUACCUUAGAAGGAGUUGGAUUAAAACCAGCAUCUGUUUCUGCAAAAGCAACAGUCUUUUUUCAAGGAAACAAAUAUUUUUAGUGCAAAAGAAAUUCUGCUGGCGAGACCAAACAAAAGUAAGUUUUAAAUACGCCUUACCAACAAAGCAUUUAACUCUCAUGCAGCAUCUCUUCAAUAUAAGAGCUUUAUCUCCCUUCUUCUGCUUGAAGUCCAUAAAUGGAAGUAAUGCCUAGACAAUUAAAAAAAAAAGCAUUCAUUUCAUUUAGUUGUAGGCCUUGAAAUCUACUAAUUCUAAGGGUGCAAUCAAAUUUAUCCAUUUAUUAAGCUCUCUAUUGCCAUUACUUUUUCGGGGCAAAGGCAAGUAAAAGUAUUACCUUCCAGCAACAUCCUUUGCAGCUUAUCCCAAUAACAAACAUCCCAUACUAAUCACAACUGAAGUUUAUUGAUGUUUUCAUUCUCUUCUUUAUUUCAAGCAAAAGAAAAGAGUUAAUUGGCUCAAAUGAGAUCUCACUCCACAACAGACUUGAAUUUCGAUAUCCAACAGUAUUAGGGAGGGAUACAAGAAAAGGAAAAAGGGUAAAACCUAUAGCCUGCAUAAUAGGACAAAACACCAUCUAAUACUUCCGAACACUAAAUUACUCCAAUUUUCGGAUAGUAAUGUUUUGCACAUCCAUGAAAAAAUCACAAGAAAUCAUGAACUGAAAAGAGUGAGAAACAUUUUUUAUGAAUAAAAACGUUUCUAAGACACCAUUAAAGAGCCAUGAGCCUUAGCCCACGAAGCAGAAAAGAAUACCAUUCUGCCCCAGAAAAGCUGGAUGGCUAGUUUGGUCCUUAAAAACAUUAGCAUUACACUCCAACCACUCUACGAAGGAUGAGAAAGGAACAAGUCAACCAUAACAAAAUGCAACAAAAAGAAUAGAUCAAAGCCUCCAUGCCGCUUCAAAAUAAAAAUAAAUGAACUGCCUUAAAGAGUAAGAAUUAUGGUUAUCCCUAACAAAUAAAUCUAAAUUGUAGCUAAAUAGUCUAUAAUCAUUCACAGGAGCAGGUAACUAACCCAGCGAGCAUCUGGAAGUAGACGACCAAGCCGACGAACUGAAACACGACUGAAGCUUUCAUAGUUUUCUGGAAUUCCACAUCCUUGAGCUUCCAGACUUUCCAAAAUCCUCUCAAUACACUCUUCCCCCUGUAAUGAAUCAUUUUAGAACUUUUUGUUGCAUCAUUUAAGGAGAAAACUUAUGUGCAUAAAUUCCCGUACCUCAACAAUAGGAAGAUAAACACACCUAAGGCGAGCAUUUGCUUCUUGAGAUGCCUUAGAGCCUGAAAGGUUUCAGGUUUGAAAAAGAAAGGUGUCACAAUCAGGAAUGUUGUUAAAAAUAUGACAUUAUUAACCAUGAAAACAACCUGGGCUUGUUGUAUGAUGGUCUUUUCUAAGGGAAAAGUGAAGCUGAAAAGUAAAUUCAUCUCCAUUGCAAGAAUGUAAGUUGGUAACUGCAACCUCCCCACCUUCAAUUUCAGUCAAAUCAACACCAUUAACCUGAACACACGCAUUCAUUCCCAAAGUGCAAAAGGAAGCGAUCGUAACUACAGGAUGCUUUUAUGUGAUGCCAUAAACUCAAUGGACAAUGAUGGAAAGGUUAACUACAGAAAUUGCAUGCAAUAAUAACCACCUGAUAUUUCCAUUUGCGCAAAACCGUAUUUAUACAAUUUGGAAGUAUCUACGAUGGUCUCAGUUCAUGGAUCUUGUCAUGGGAUUCUAUUAAUAGUAUGGUUUCGUUAAAAGAAAACUCAAUUAUUUCUGAUUUUUGAUAAUAGUAUGGGUUUGUUAAGACGGACGCCAACGAUAUCUCAAGAGUAAGAAGGUACUCGACAUUUUUCAUAAAUUUUUUCUUACCAAAAAUUUGUCAAAGAAGACGAUAUGUAUUUAUACAAGAGAAACAGUAGUUAUGUAAGUUAUAUCUAUAAUGUACUAUCUCUUUAUGCUUAUUUAGACUUAUUCUCCUUAAUAUGCAUGUUCAUAUUAAACAUCAUUUUGCACAACACAUAUUGACCUAUUCUCCCCAGUACAUCAUGAUAUGUUAAGUCCACCUGUGCUUAACAUAUCAUUUAUUCUCCCUAAUACAUUAAAAUAUUACUCAUAACAUUACGCCCUCUUGAAAAUUUGUGCUUGUCUUCAAGCACAAAAUUUCUGCCAUUGCUAUAGUUUCAAGUUCUAGCAACGCUGGAAUUUCAGAAUUUUCUCCAUUCUCGGAACUGUCAAAAAGGAAAAGGUCCAGUUUGGUGUAACGAGGCAGAUAGGGCGCUUAGCAUGCUGGUGCCUCCAGGCCACUGCGGUUAGCGUUGAGCAAGCAGACGCGCAUUUGCAGGACUGUGCAGUGCACACAGAGGGGUGCGUUGUGGAUUUAAUAGCCCCUGUGCAGCGUGCCUGAUGGUGGUCUGCUUGGCUGCUUCCUUUACUGGACUGAUUGUAGCUAUUCUAGCCAAUAAUUCCUCUAUUCCCCCACUAAAUAUUAAAAUUUCAAUUCAUCUUAUUCUGUAUCUUCUUGAUAAGUUUGCAGAAAUUUGUCAAACAUGGAAUAUGAUUCCUCCAUAAUGAUUUGACUCUGAUACCAAAUCAAUACGGUCCAGUCUACGAAUCUCAUUAUGAAAUUUUGUUAAUAGUACGGGCUCGUUAAGAGAGACUAACAGUUUUCGAUUUUUGUUAAUAAUAUGGACUCGUUAAGAGAGAAUUCAAUAAUCUCUUGAAGAAGAAAGCACUCGACAUUUUUUUAAAAAAAAAUUCUUACCUAAAAAUCUGUAAAAGGAAACAGUAUGUGUUGAUACAAGAGAAAGAGUAGUUAAAUGAAAGUUACUUGAAUUAACUACCUCCUCCUCAUCUAGACUUAUUCUUUCCUAAUAGACAUCUCGAUAAUUAACAGAUUAUUUUACAUAUAACUCACACUGACUUGUUCUCCCUAAUAAUAUACUUGUCCACCCAUAAUAGAAUCCUGUACACUUCUUCAUAUAUCAUUGUUAUUUCUCUUUUUUUUUCCUCAUUCCAACUUAAAAUUUCAUUUGGUUAUUUACAUAAAAUAUCAGUCUCUUAUUGGUUAAAAUCUAUAGAAUACUUGCAGAAGUUUAUUACCAGAGGAUGAAGCAAAACCUUUAUAACCCUAAAUGAUAACUGAAUAUAAACUCUAAGACAUCCAUAUAAUAAUUAGAAAAUCUAUGCACAGAUAUCAAACCUGGAACUCAAUUGGUGUUUCAGUUUUCCCUGUCUCGCACAUUUCGUCGCACUACAGUCCACAACACAAGGGAAAAUAUGUAGUUUAGACUCAGGACAUCUUUCAAAAGUCAUGGUAGUGAUAAUAGAUCUUCAAACAAAAAACGGUUACAUAAUAAGAAAAUUUUUCAAAAACAAUAUUUACAAUACAAAUACAAAAACCUGUCUCUUUUUUAUCCUCAUAUUUGGAACUGAAAGAAAUCAGUUGAUCUCCAAGGUUUGGUCUGAGCAAACCUGGAUAUAUGGAAAGUAGAUGUCCUUCAGUCUGCAUUGGAGCUUAUAUAGAUCCAAGCUUUUCAUUUUAGGCUCUAAUAUCUCCACCUAUCAUAAGCAUCUACAAAAGUUAAACGUGUAUAAACCAAAAACAACAAGUACAUGGCUGAGGAAUAUCGUAACCACAAACAGUUAGCAUAAACUUCUUAAGGUCAGGGAUGAGAAUCAAGUUCUGUCAAUUGCAAUAACAUGAGUAAACGAUGUAACUAAACGUAAUAUGCCAGCAGAAGUAUCAGUUUAGGUUGGUUUAUAAGCAGGACUCACCAUCAGUCUAGAUAUCCUUGUUUUUCGGCAUGAUUGUUACUUAAUUAUGUCAUAAUUUCCAAGUUUGGGACAUUAGGACAAAGAUCUAUGUAACAAAUAACUCUUCUAGGUGUGGGGUUCAGUUACUUUGUUAGGUCCCAGUCAGAGCUGCAAAAUAACCCAAGAAUUUUCUGCUUAUGGUGAGAAAAGACCAAGAAAAGUUCCAGAAAAAUUAUGAUAUGCUUUAUUGAUAGUUUGGUCAGUCUUUAAAUAGAAUUUCUUACAACAAUAAUUCCUGCUUUGGUGGUUCUAGAUAAGAAUUAAAAAUACAAGGAAAUCAGAAAAAUGUUAGUAGGAGAACAGAUUGCGGGAUCCCCUUGAUUGAUUCUGGAGGUGUCUGUAUUUCCUACUGCUGCCGUUGCAGAUCACUUCUGAAGGUCUUCAUCAGUCCAGGUAUUUCAGAUUCCUCACAGGAACCCGUUGGGAUCGUCGGGGCCUACCAUCACUCCCUCCCGAAGAGGAACCUUGUCCUCAAGGUUCGAGUUGAAGAAUCUAGCUUGCAGCUCCUUAGAAUUUUCCCAGGUGGCAUCUUCUGUGGGCAGGUCCUUCCAUUUCACCAGACUUUCUUCCACAAAUGGUGAACCUUUUUUUAGCCAACAAAUACCUAAUAUUGCUUCUGGGUGGAGAAUAAUAUUGCCUUCUUCUGUUGCCGUGGGCAGUUCCUCGUUGGGAAGAAAUGAAUCGCCAAUUUUCUUUUUUAGUAGGGAAACAUGAAAUACCGGAUCAAUGCAAGAUUCCAGAGGCAGCUUGAGCUUGUAGGCAACCUGAUCAAUUUUUUCUUCAAUUUGGUAUGGCCCAAAGAAGUGGCGUGCAAGCUUCUGUAAAGCUCUUUGAAAACGGUUUGCUGUCUAUAAGGCUCUAACUGGAGAAAGACCCAUUCGCCGACUUGAAACUCAACAUGGCGUCGCUCUGAAUUUGCUGUUUGCUGUAUGCGAUUGCUGGAAAUUUUGGCCUUAAGUUGGCGGAGUAUUUCGUUCCUUGCUGUCAGUUGGUGGUCAACCUCGUUCACAGCUGUGAUGCCCUCAAUGUAAUGUGGAAUAGUGGGUGGAGGGCGUCCAUAUUAGGCUUGGAAGGGAGUCAUGCCGAUUGAUGAGUGGUAGAUGAUGUUUUACUAAAAUUCUGCCAUGGAAGGAGUGGGUACCAUUUACUGGGCCGUUGAUGGGCAAGGCACCUUAAAUAUUUGUUGACCACUUCAGAUUGUCUGUCGGUUUGCGGGUGGUAUGAGAAGCUCAACUUCAAUUCCGUACCUGACAAUUUAAAAAAUUCAUUUCAAAAGUGACUGAUAAAUAUGGAAUUUUGGUCACUUACAAUUGAACGCGGCAUGUCAUGUAACUUGACUACGCCCUCCACAAAUUUCUCUACGACAAUCUUGGCAAUGUGGGGAGGGGAUGGGAGAGGGAAAGGGACAAGGCCAGAAAAUGAGCUAAUUUGCUAAGGCGGUCAACGACUACCAGGAUAGUGUUUUUACCCUGAGAAUGAGGUAACCCUUCUUAAAGUCCAUGGUAAUGUCAUCCCAAACUUACCAUGGAAUAGGUAGUGAUUAUAAUAACCCAGUAGUUUCUAAAUUGGCCCUUUGGCAUACUUCACAAACCGAUACAUAAUUUUGAAUUGUUUGGCGCAUGGAAGCCCAAAAAAAUCGUUGUACCAGCCUUUUGUAAGUUCUGAGUACUCCUGAUUGACCGCCCAUAUAAGAGUCAUGAUAUGCUUGCAAUAAGUGUUGGAUGAUGUUGGACUUCAGAGGUACUACAAUGCGCUGUUAUAGCAAAUUAGACCAUUUUAUCUGUAUAUGGGCAGCCUGGAUGGUUUUGGGCUAGCUCUUCUAAGCAUAUAACGGUUGCCAUUGGCUGCUUCUCUAAUUUGGUCCCAUAGUGAUAUACUAGCUGUGAAGGGCAUUUAAUGUUGGCCUGUUUACUUGCCGAAAGAGGGCGUUGGUGGCUUGAUUUUCUUUCCCAGGUUUGUACCGUAUUUCGUAGUCAUAACUAAAUAAUUUGGAGACCCAUUUUUGUUGCUCAGGAUUGGUAAUUCUUUGAUCAAUUAGGUACUUUAAGCUGCAUUGAUCCGUCUUGAUAAAGAACUUACACCCCAAAAGAUGCGGCCUCCAAUUCUGAACGUCGACCACUAUAUCUAACAUUUCUUUGGCCUAGGUGGACCAAGACAUCUUAAACGUGCCCAAUGCAUGGCUCAUAUAAGCGAUAUUUGAGUAAGUACUGCUUCAAUUCCAUCGCCUUAUGCGUCCGCCUUAAUAGUGAAGGGUUUAGUGAAAUUUGGGAGUGCCAAAGUGGGUGUGGAGGUCAUGGCUUGCUUCAAUUCUGUAAAUGCUGCUUCAACUUCUUCGUUCCAUUGAAAGAAUCUUUUUUUGAGUAAACUUAUCAAGCAUUUAGCCAUGAGUCCAUGGCUCUUCACAAAUUUGCGAUAGUAUCUGGUAAGACCUAGAAAGUUAUGUAGCUUUGUGAUGUUGAUGGGUUUCGACCAAUUGAGCAUGGCUUGAAUUUUUUCUUGAUCUACUUUGACCCCUCCUAAUGUAACAAUAUGACCAAGAUAUUCUAAUUCUUGGUGGACGAACAGACUUUUUUAAUUUCACAAAGAAUCAAUGUUGCUUUAGGAUCUCAAAAACCAUCCCGAUAUGUUCUAAAUGGGAAUCCCAGUUGACACUAUAUGCCAAAAUAUCAUCAAAGAAAACCAACACAAAUUUUCGCAGAUAUGGACGAAAAAUAACAUUCAUAACAGCCUGAAAUGUAAUGGCUUGAAAUGUAAAAGGUGCAUUACAAAGACCAAGCGCAUCCAAGUACUCGUAGUGGCCGUUGUGGGUUCUGAAAGCAGUCUUGUGAAUGUCAGAAGGAUGGACACAAACCUGAUGAUAUCCGACAGUGAGAUAUAAUUUUGUGAAGUAAACAGCUCCGUUCAAUUCGACGAACAUAUCUUCUACGGUGGGAAUGGGAAAACAAUCUUUAAUUGUAACAACAUUGAGCGCGUGGUAAUUGGCGCUAAAUCACAAUGUUCUUUUUUCUCAAUAACAGAACAGGGGAGGAAAAAGGACUGGUACUGUGGCGUAUGAGUCUUGAACUGAACAUUUUUUAUACCUACUUCUCUAUCUCUGCCUUCUGGAAAUAUGCAUAACGAUAUGGUUGGACAUUGACUGGUUCGGUAUCGUCCUUGAGAUGAAUUCGGUGAUCAAUGUCCCUCUCGGGCGGUAGCUAUUUUGGUUCUUGAAAUAAUUCAAACAAUUCCUUGAACAAUUCUUGUAAUUCAAUUCUGUCACCCGGUGCAGCAACCUCACGCUCGGCCCUGAAACAUAUGGCUUACAUGAAGUGUCGACCUGGAAUGGCCCGAUUGAUCUCCUCCAGGGAAGACGCCUGAAUGGUGGCGCUCCCAAACCGUGUAGCAACUGUGGCUUGUUCUGCCAUUGGAAUUUCAUCGUUAAUUUCUUCCAAUCGCACAUCAUCGUGCCCAAGGCUUCCAACCAAUGCACUCCUAGCACAAGAUCAAGCCCCAUUGGAGGAAGACAAUAAAGAGUGAGGGUGAACGAAAUACCUUAAAUGGUGAUCGACACAUUUUUAAACCACUCUCUACAACUCAUCAGCUUGCCGUUUGCGACCUUCACGACGAAUGGCGAUGUUGGGAUCAUUGGGAGUUGUAAACGCCCCACAACUCAGUCACUGACCAAAUCGUGGAUAACCUGGAUGGUGGCAGGAACUUUCAUAGUGCCUGUGUUAGGCCACGUAGUGAGGGCAUGGAGCGAGAUUUCUAGUUCUUUGGUGUCGGCUCCUUCGCACCCGCUCUCGGGCAACAGAAGCUGCGACUCGCGGCAACGAUGGCCUGCAAUGAACUUCUCAUUGCAUUUGAAAAAGAGACCUUGGGUCUACUGUUGCUACUUCUCGUCCCAGGAGAGACGCUUCGCGAUAUAGGGAGCAACUAGAGCUUGCUGAUUCAGGACGAAGUGAUAGCUAAGGGCGGCUUGGGUGUUCGCGGGCGGGUUUUCCCUCAACCGGUUCAAUAUGCAUUGCUGGUCCAUCUGUUCUUCUUGCAUGAGGGUCAGGUCAAUUGCAUCUUUUAAAGUUUUGGGCAUGAACAUGUGUAUCCAUCUACCAGCUCGGGCUUAAGCCCACCAAUGAAGGUCCCAAUCAGGGCCUUUUGGGUCCACUCGUGGACCAGGUUACCCAGGCGUUCAAAUUCUUUUUGGUACUUUCAUAAUGGGCCGGUCUGUUUGAUGCGAGAUAGGUCCUCAUCAAAGUUUUCGAACUUGGUUGGCCUAGACCUGUCCCAUAAUUCUUCCUCAAACACGGCCCAGUCUAUUGUGCAACCCUCUUCUUUGUAAAGCUUACUCAGCCACUGCCACCAGCAGUUGGCUUCUCCUUCAAGGUAGAACGACGAUAGGACUAUAUAGUGUUGCACAGUUGUCGCCUGAAAGUCAAAAAACUGCCCAAUCUGGUUGAGCCAUUCGAUGGAUUCGCCGCCUGAGAAGGACGGGAACUCCAGUUUGGAGUAGAUGGUGGAUCUCCCGUGGUCGCACUCGGGCCUUUCUUCACAAACCAGUCGCGGCAGACUUGAGCGGCUCAUUUGGUUGCUGCUGGAUCCUUCUCGGUUAGAAGCAAAGGUGUCUGGUAACUGCUAGAGGCUCUCCUCUAUUAGACACAUCUUAUCGGUCAGCUUGAUUUCCAUUCGGCAGAAACUAUUUUAUAAUCCGCCGGGGCCAGCUUCUAGAUUCUCGAUGCGUUCCUUGUUGGAGGUCGUUUUAACCGUGUUCGAACACCAAUGUCCUUGUUGGUCCCAGUUGGAGCUGCAAAAUAACCCAAGAAUUUUCUGCUUAUGGUGAGAAAAGACCAAAAACAUUUCUGGAAAAAUUAUGAUCUGCUUUAUUGACGGUUUGGUCAAUCUUUAAAUAGAAUUUGUUACAACGAUAAUUCCUGCUUUGGUGGUUAAAGAUAAGAAUUGAAGAUACAAAGACCAAAAACGAAAUUAGAAAAACACUAGUGAGAGAGCAUAUCGCAGGAUCCAGAAUUUGUUACAAUGAUAAUUCCUGCUUUGGUGGUUACAGAUAAGAAUUAAAGAUACAAAAAAAUCAAGAAGGAAAAUAGAAAAAUGCUAGUGGGAGAGCAAAUCUCAGGAUCCUCUUGACUGGUUCUGGAGGUGUCCGUUUUUUCUGCUGCUGCCGUUGCAGAUCACUUCUGCAGCCGUUAUGGGUAGGUCUUUAUCAGUCCAGGUAUUUCGGGUGCCUCACAGGAACCCAUUGGGAUCGUUGGGGCUUAUCAUACUUCCUCCAGGUAAGUUACUUGUCCUUGGGGUAAGUUGUACUUUCUAAUGUUAGCUUACAAGAGUGCUAUGUAUUAGAAAUAUGCAGAAAAAUCAGAAAAACUUCAUUAGUUCUUCUUGUUUAUGAGAUUGAAGGCUUUUCUCUAACAAGUCCUUUUCCUAUCACUAAUAGUAGGUCAUAAGGGUAGAAACUCCAUCCAUAAUUCAGGUCCUUCACUAGAUUUGCCAGUGCAGGAACCCACAACGAGACCCCCAGGUAUAGGACCUAAUAUAUAAUAGGAGGAAAAGCAUAACAUAUUGCUACAUCCUCAAAUUAGAUACAAAGUAAUUUAAAAGCAUACACAGCUGGUCUAAAGAAUAAGGAUAAAAAAGAAUGGAAAAUUAAAAAUGGAGCAGAAUCCACCUUUGUAAAGCUUCCUUGAGGUGAUAAACCAAUUUCGUCUUCUGAAGGAUCCCUCAAGCUACCAUCAGUCUAAAAUAAUAAUACAUAAUUUGAAAUGUAAAAUGUUAGUUUGACACUUCCUACAUUAAAAAAUUGCUCUUACACAAAACAUUACUAGCAAGGCAAACUUCUUAAAAGACAAUUCACUGAUCAGGGAGCUUGUUACCCUCCAAGUAACUCCAGAGUUAUUUUGGCUUAGUAAAGCCUCUCUCUCAAGGUGUAAUGUAUACACCUUCUUUGAACUCUUGGUCUUCGAUGACACUAAAGCAUGCCUAUAAGAAGACAGUAAAAAAGUACAUAACCCGAUAAGAAGUUGAAAAACAAAUAAUUUUGAUAGGACAGCACUUUUUCAAUUAUGGAGAAAAAAUAACGGGGAGUUGUACCUCCCUAAAUGCAUAGAUGCAAUAGCUCCUCCAUAUCCAAACAUGCCAAAGCAUGGCUGCAUGGGAACAGACAAGAGGUCCUUAGUUCCGACCGAUAAAAUCAUUAAUGGACAAAAGAAAAGAAAUUGUAAAUGUUAGAUAAUCUAUAGAUUUUCAGUUUAUAGGACACGGUGGGUUAAGUUCAACAAAUGCACAUCUUGAAAUUUUAAUAAAUCUAACAAUAUAAGAUAAAAGCCAUGAUAGUAACUAGCUAUAACACCAAAUUAUCUUCGAAUUUUCCUAAAACUUUCCAACGAGUAAACAUGCUCAAUUGAGCAGAAUAUGAUUAGACAUCAAAACAAAAAUUAAUAGAAGGAGCCAAAGAAACAUAGUGCACAUGAAUUAAGGACAGCACAGGCCUGGAUAACAUUUAUCUGCAGAACAAGGCCAUAGUUUGAAGCUAUAACACAGUAUGCUUACCAUUAAAUAAGGAGGUUUGCCACCUAUUCCUUGUGCUUUUGAAGAUCUGUGAAGCGAGGCCCCAAUCUUUCCCCUGGAGGAUGAAUAAAUAUAUAACAUGUGACUAAUUAAAAGUAGAAUGCACGCAAUAUGCAAAAAUAAAUUAUUCUUUGAAACUAGGCCAUUGUUUGAAAUAUAUUUCUUUUUACUUAUAUACAGUGAUACUUGAACUUCAACAAUCAAUUAACUCUAAAUUUUGGAGGCUUAGUUCCAAUGCAAACAAGUCAUCAUUGGAAAAUAUCCUUUGAAUUCAUCCAUUUAUUUUCCCUACUAUUCUUUUCACCAUUGUAAUAGUCUUCCUCUUCGACAAUUUUAUAACUCAACUUCUAAGCUUCCUGAAAGAACAUCCACAAGUCUUUAUCCAACGGGAAAAAGAAAAAUUGAAAAAAAUGGCUAAUAGAAUUUCUCAGUACCGGCUCAAAGUUAAUAGAUCUAAUAACAAGAGGUGGGCUACAAAUUAUAACUACCAACUGAUGAACAAUAAAGUUGAUGAAGAAAAUAGAAGUAUACCACUUUACCAUGGAGUUUUCAUCACUCCCAUCCAUUCCAGAACCGGUAUCAAAGAUUGAAAUCCUACCUUCAGAAACAUCCACCCUGAAAAACACACAGAUAAUUCCAUCAUAAUCAUCCUAAAUGAUAACUGACAACCAACCAAAUGACAUCAACCAUAGCAACUUUGUUUUCACACUAAAUCAAACUUUCUUGAGAACAAAUAAGUUUUUUUAUAAGACCUUUUGUAGUAUUUCUUGAGAAGAAUAAUAAUUUGAGAAGAAUAUAUUAUGAGCAAAUCCCAAAUGGUAAGCUCAAUACUUUCAUAAUCAGCUUUCUUUCAACAAUUAGAAAUUCAAAUUUUAUUACUUACUUCAAAUCGGAAAGCAAGUAGAUAUUUUUCCGAAAAUAAAAGGUAUGAUGCAUUAAAAGCAUCAACAGUAUGCAACCCGUAUGCGAAAAUAUUUACAUGUCAAUAAAAAAUUCAAUCAUAUACCCGAAGUUCUCACAAGAAUAAAGAGAAUCACAUUAAUCAAAAUAGCUAGGGCCUGAAAUCAAGUAUCCUUAAUACUAUCAAAAUACAACUUUGUACUCUUGAAAACUCUUCAAUUUCAAAAAAAAAAUCAUUCAUACACAAAUGAAUUAUCUUAGAGUGAACAGAAAUAACGAUAUAUUAUACUGAAAGCAGGCCCCACCUUAUCAAUCUCCUACCAUGUUUAUCAUUAGACCAUACAGCUUGUAAGGAAUUAUCCUGUUACAUGACCAGCAAGAGGAGUAUAAGCCCUUAAAUUACUUACAAAAUCAAAACCCAUUUAUAAAAAUAAAAAUAAAAGAAACCCAGACUCUAAACUCCAUCGAGAACUUGCCAUCAGAUCUGCAAGUGCGGUCUCAAAAGUGUACUCCUCUGGUAGCUCCAUUAGCAAAUCAGUAUCUGGUGUUAAAUCCCACAUGUUCUGUAAAACAAUCAAAUUUCACCACAUAUCUAAUAAUUGGUUGAUCAAGAACAUGAAACUUUUACAAUGAAGCAAAGCAAAUGCACCACUAAUGAUAAAUGUAGUAAGUAAAGCAACAUACAUGUUACCAUUCAGGACAGACUACUAACCUCAAAAGUAUCCAUAGUCUCACCAGACCCGUCCUAAUUGAAAAAUAGAACAAGAGAAAGUAAAGUUCAUUGAGCAUAAGUUGGAAAAAUGUAUUAAAGUUUAAUCUUAUAAGUAGGUUAGAAAAGUUGUUUUGGCUUCCCUAACUUUCCCAUAUUUUUACCCCACCCUUCAGCUAAACAUGACUACUAAUGCAAUCGGCACUCACAUGAAGCCGUAUAAUGUGACACUUCAAUGGCUUAAAAUUUUCAAAGUUAAUUCUUGUCCUCGUCUUCUUAUCAUUUGCAUCUUCCAGGAGCAACUUUUCACUGUACCAAUUAAUUGGUCUUCUCUUCUUCAUGAAUUGAUUUUGCCGCAAAGAUGCAUAAUACUCAUCUUUUAUCAACUUUAUAAAGUCCCAAAACUCCAUUCUAGGCUCAGGGUCACGCACUGCUAACCCUACACUGGUCCCAUUUGGUAACAGGAUUUUAAAACGGUAGACUCUGUCUGCAACUUCAUAUCCAGCCAUUUCCUCCAUUGGCCUCUUUUUAGGAGCUUGUUGAGACGCCAUUUUUUGAUUCCCCUCCAAGCAACUGAGGAAUCUGCAAAUAUAGAAGUAUAACAGUACAGAUAGUCAAGGUAUUUCAUCACAACCAAUAAAGAAACAAAGAAUACAUUACGAUUUAAAAGGACUUACACAAAGACACACACUGGGUUUACAACUUUGACAGAAAAUCAGGUUUUAAGCCACCGAUGAAAUGAUAAAGCAGAUAUAUACAUGUAUAGACACAACAUGCACACACGUGGUCCCUGAACCCUUCUUCCACCAAAAACAGGCAAUGCAGUGCAAAAAAAGAGACUAAAAGCUGAUAAACAUUAGCGCAGGGAAACUUAGUUUUAACACGUAUCAAUUUCCAUACCAGUCAAAGGAAUAAAUGAAAGCAAAAGCAAAAGCAAAAAAAAUGACGAAACUAUGUCACUCCCUCCUACCAAAAACAAGCAUUUCUAUGCAAAAACCAGAACGGAAUCUGAGUAACAAUAUCCCAUGUAUAAUCAUUCCGCACUAAUAAUCACUUCAUUUGACAAUCAAAGCUUAAAAAUCCAAACAAGCGAGACCUACAUCGCAUAUACAGAGAUAACACAUACGAACAAUUCUUCCAGCCAAACAAUAACAGCUAUUCCUAUGGAGAAACCAUAACGACAUCUGAAGACGGUACAACAUGUGAAUAUAAACACAAAUAAUCGGUUGAAACACCACCAAAACAAUAAAAAAAAAUGAAAAUGAAAUACGAAACAACAAUAUUUCUCUGGUUUCAUGAGAAAACCUUAUACUAUAUGUGCUCCCGUCCGAUGAUCAGCUGAAACCACAGAUAUUUAGGGAUUUCAGAUAGAACCAUAAGCAAUCUGUGGCUAUGGUUUUUGCUGGAAAGAAUCCGAACCGACUAACAAGGUGUAGAAAUGAGGUGAAGUACAGACUUCUGCAGCAAGUAAAGGCCCCGGAUGCUUGAAUGGCCAAAGUGCGAAGCGGCACGCUGCUCCAAACACCGGUACGAAUUUCAGUGAGAGUAUCACGAGUUCAGAGGAGAAAUCAGCGGAAAUGGAAGACGAAAGGGGGUCACUAUACAGAUAGUAACAUCAUUACAAAUGAUAGCGAAAAUAAUCAUGUGGGACCACUUGCUUCUGGAUAGAGACACGUGGAGAUUUGUUUCGGACGCCGGUCGGUUACUCGGGUUGUGCAGGAACUUGGGAAAGCUUAAAAUUAAAUUAAAAUAAUUUGUCCAAUUUAUUUUAUAUAUUUUAUAUAUUUUUUUAUUUAUAUUGACCCAUUUUAAUUUUUUCUAUCUACAUAUUGGUAGAAAUCUUGGAAAAUAUUUUUGUAAUACCGAAUUCAGAAAUUAGUUUGGGAUAAUUAUUAUUGCAUUUAUAAAAUCUAUAAAUAAUNNNNNNNNNNNNNNNNNNNNNNNNNNNNNNNNNNNNNNNNNNNNNNNNNNNNNNNNNNNNNNNNNNNNNNNNNNNNNNNNNNNNNNNNNNNNNNNNNNNNNNNNNNNNNNNNNNNNNNNNNNNNNNNNNNNNNNNNNNNNNNNNNNNNNNNNNNNNNNNNNNNNNNNNNNNNNNNNNNNNNNNNNNNNNNNNNNNNNNNNNNNNNNNNNNNNNNNNNNNNNNNNNNNNNNNNNNNNNNNNNNNNUUGCCUAUUUAUUUUUCCUAUACUGCUUAAAUUAUUUAUUGUUCUGUUGUGUGCUUUAAAUUAUUACUUUUAAUUAUUUUCUCAUUCAUUGAUUAACUAAUCGUUAUUUUUAUCUGUUGACUGAUUUGAGAAAAAGACCUGAUUUUGUUUCUUAAUUGUUAAUGUAUGAAAUUGUAUUGUUUACUUAAAUAUUGUUUGAUUGAUCUGUGAAUAUGAAAUGAAAUGUUGGUAUGCGAUUGAUAGGUGUUUGAUAAUGAGAAUCUAUAUAUGAAAGGCUUACUGUGUGACACUCCAAAACGGUUUCUACUAUAAAAUUAUACAUUAUUCAUUCUUCCACCUCAAAUAAGAUAUUUAUAAUUUUUCAACCAAAUCACACAUAUCCAUUAGUUCAACAAAUAAAUCAAUUUUCGUACAAUGAAUAAUUCUAUAAUCAAAAAAACUGUUCAACUAUCACCAUACACAUAGAAGUUCUAACAUUAUUCAAAUAUUGUAAGUGUACUACUAUGUCUCAUCAUAAUUGAAAACAUCUUGCUACUUAUUAUCGUUUAAGUAAACAAUAAAUGAUAAUAAGCUCUCCAUUUCUGGUUCCCGUCUCAAAGCAUUUGAAAUGAGAGUAAUGAGUAUGUAUAACCCAAUAAGAUGAAUUUUUGAAACUAAACUAAUGAAUGACAAUUAAAUGACCUCCCUCCUUACUAUCAUUUCCCUUAUUUCUAUCAUUUUAUUUUUCUUCCUUGAUAACUAUUAAAUGACGAUACUACUCCCUCCUAAUCCUGUAUAACCCCUUACUAUUAGCCUCUCAUUCUCCCGACCAUAUAAUGGACCCGCACUCUACCCCUUUUGUUUUAACCACAACACCUUACCAACUCGACACCAUUCUAGUAGUCCUUAAGCCACACCCAUACCCUCUUAAUCAUCUUUAUCCCUAUCAUACCUCUCAUCACGCACCGGCUCACUAAGACCACACAUGCACACUCUCGCUACAUCCCGUGGCCUUACUCCAACAGCAAACACAAUCCUUAUAUCGGCCAUUACAUGGCCCUAUGCACUAACGCACCACAAUAUCAAAUACACACCGCUAUUCCCACGGUAAUGACCACUGAAUGGCCCUACCGAACUCCACCAACAUCGGGCCACACGGCCUCCCACACACUUGACCAGGGGAAUGCCCAAUCNNNNNNNNNNNNNNNNNNNNNNNNNNNNNNNNNNNNNNNNNNNNNNNNNNNNNNNNNNNNNNNNNNNNNNNNNNNNNNNNNNNNNNNNNNNNNNNNNNNNNNNNNNNNNNNNNNNNNNNNNNNNNNNNNNNNNNNNNNNNNNNNNNNNNNNNNNNNNNNNNNNNNNNNNNNNNNNNNNNNNNNNNNNNNNNNNNNNNNNNNNNNNNNNNNNNNNNNNNNCACGGCCUCCCACACACUUGACCAGGGGAAUGCCCAAUCGACCACAGAGUGGCCAUACAUACAGUAUGUCACUACGCAUUAUAUCGACAUAUUCAUAUUUACAAACAUCGGCUAAAGGCCUUACACACACACAAGUCACGCACACGCACACGCAGGGUGCCACUAAUUUACACACCAGUAUACCAGAAUCCUCCAACAUUGGCCAAGAGACCUCCCACAUCUAAGUACCUAUACAUACACACACCAUAGAGUACCCAACCUACCCCCUAUAUCACGUAAACCUCACUCCACCUACAGCUUCACAUAUAAAGUCACGAACCACCAUCCCUGCACAAUAAAAGGAGUCACCCUCGGUAAGUAGCCUUACACACACACAACUAUCCCUACACUCGCCAUCGAUCACUGCCGCCUAUACUUAUACAUAUACAAUAAUGCAUCCCACUUUCACAGUGACCUUAUCUCUCGGUUACACACAACUCAUCAUCCACAGACUUUGUUCCCAUCCUCACGACAUCUCUCGUUCACUAAUCUCCCUCACACAACCGACUACCCAUAUGUACACUCCUCUCUAUCACUUACUCCCUCUCUUUCCUCAGGCCUCGACCCCUCUCACACUCCCUCAACAAACAUAGCGCCUCGACUUCGAUCUCCUUGACGAUAAGCAUCUCUAUUAACCUGUACACACAAUCUCACUAGAUUUGCCCUAAAUUAGUUUAAAAUUUUUAAAUUUCUCUUACCUCUUGCUUUCAUCCUCCUCUAUCUCCCAAAGCUAUCGCGACCUCACCUCAUUCUCGAACUUUCGAGUAGUUCUUCUUCCACUGUCGCCUCCGAUUACUGCCUCUUUCAUAAUCGUCUUCCUCUCUCACUCCUGCAUUAUCUGUUUUCCCCUUUAUUUUCUUUAUUCUCCUCCUCCCAUCUCUAUGUCCGACGCCCCCUUUUUAUACCUAUCCUAAACUCACAUCCCAGCCGUUGAUUCCACCCAUUCCAUCUUAACUGUCCAUCUCACUCUCUUUCGCCGAUCUAUGCUAUUAUAUACUAGGUACCCUGGGAAAGGGUGGACGGACCUGAUACAUAAGAAAAACUUUAUCGUGGAUAUUAUCUCAGCCGAACGGGGCUGAGAAGUUCUAUAUCGGAAGGGUUAGGAUAUAUGCUUCACCUUCAUACCAAACGAGGUAUUAAAACAAUGGUGUAUUUGGCGCCCAUUACUAGACAGGGUAUGAGGACGACCAAGUAAAUUGACAAAUCUAGAUAUUGGGUUCACGAGUAGGAGAAUAUCUCUAUGAACCCCCAGGAGUUCCAAUAAGCAGGUAAAAAAGAAGAAUGGCCGAUCUUGCUCACUUGAACAUGAAAUUAUAAAUAUUAUAUGGGUGUUUGUCUUAUAAGUUGAUUUCAAAAAACUCGUAAUGGUAAGUAUAAAAAUAUGUUAAAUAAAUUUACUUAAAGAGCUCAAUUAGUUGUUUUGUAAUUUUUACGAACAUUUGUUUUUCGUAUCAGUGAUUAGUGUGAUAUUCUUACUUGGUUAGUGUAACUCACUAUUCUAUUAAUCAUUUCAUAUCAAGAGAAUCAAGAUUCAGAUUCCAAUUAACAAAAAUGUUGUGAGUAGUUUACCUCCGGAUCAUUUCAAGAGCUAGUGGAGUUUAACCCGCUAUGAUAUUUAUUUAUUUGUUUUAAAUCAUUUAUUUGCUUCUUUUUGCGAGCCGCUGUAUAAUGGACAUUCUCGUAAUCCUAUUAGACAUUCUAAUUUACAACCUUAACUUUAUUGUUUGCUUCUGCAUUAAAAAUAUAAAUUUGUUUUCUUUAAGUUCCGGUCCUUUACAAUUUUACUAAUUUCAAUCAUCGUUCAAUAUAAUAAAAGCUUUGUCAUAGUCACAAAAUGUUUUUUACUUGUUUUUUUCUUAAUUCUAUUAUUAUAUUAUAAAUAAUAUUUUGUAGUUUUAUGUAAUUUUCUAAUACAUAAUCUUAAACUUGUAAUUAACUUCACUUUUUUACAAUAUAUUUUUCGAGUUUCGGAUUCUAUAAAUUUCGAUAUAAAAUUGAGAUACUUUUAUUAAUUAUUAUGUAUUAAUAAUUACUAUAGGAUUAUUAUCAUUCAUGACCAUAAUGCCAAAAAUAAUUCUUGAAUUAAUAUCGAUCAUUAUAAGUAUGUCACAAAAUAUCUAUCAUAUUAUUAUUAAAGAGUAUUGAGUUAUCACAAAAUCUAUAUUAUACUAAUGGGCUUAUCACUAAGCCACAAUACACUAACAAAGGCCAAUUUCCAUCAAGUUUUUCUUAGUACUCCACAUGAAAUUGAUGCCACCUUCAUGUGGGCCAUACCAAGAUAUAAUUUUUUUUUAAAAAAAUUACUAAAUUAUACAUAAAAAAAUUGAUAAUAAUAUUUUUUAUAAUUUUAUUUUAUUUUAAAAUUAAAAAAUAGUAAACAAUAUUUUAAUGAUUUAAAAAAAUAAUUUAAUUGAUUAAUUAAAUUAAUAGUAAUAAAAAAUAUGUCUAUUAUUAUUCUUAUUAUUAAUUUAUCAAUUAAAUUAAUCAUUGAUUUAAUUUGUUUUCUAAAACAUUCAAAUAUGAAUUAAACAUUUUAAUUUUUUUUUUUUUUACUUAAAAAAUAAAAGUAUGUAUAAAACACCAGUAACUAAAGUGUAAUGAUAAAAAUAUUAGAGAUUAAAUUAUAAUAAAUGUUAAAUUUUAAAAACUAAUUCAUUAAUUUAUCAUAAAAUAAAUAAAGUUUUAAAAAUUCAAUAGUAUUUUUUAUAAAAAUAAAUAAAUACAAAAAUAUUAAUGAUGGUUAGUUGGUGGAACACAAAUGUUUGCAUCAAACACUAGUGAGAUGUGAAGAAAUGGUUUUAUGUCUCAUGAUUAAUUUGGUUAAUGUUGGUUGGGAUCUCUUAAUUUUAGGUGGUUGAUUGACCAUGUAAUGACAAUAUUGCUUAUACUCCACAUUAAUAAAAAAUAAUAAAUGAAUGAAUAUGUAUAAAUCUUGAUUAUAUACAUACGAUGGUCGAGUUAAUGAUUGACAUAAAUAAUGAUAAGAAAAAUAUCACACAUGUUUUAAAAAUUUAAUUUAUGGGUUUUAUUUUUUUUAAAUAUAUAUAAUUCAAUUAUAAUUUAUAAUCGAAACAUAAAUUGUUCUGAGUCGUUAAGUUAAUACCAACUUAUACGUAGACUCGUUUUUUAAUAUUAUUUUCUUUCUAUAUUAUAAUUUAUACUAAAAAAAUUAUAUAUAAAUAAAAUAAAAAUACUUCAAUCCGUAUUGUUAAUUCAUAUAAUCUCAUAAUCAAAUAAGUUUUUAACUUGAUUGUCCCUUCUGGAAUUAUAUAAAACAUACAUGAAGAUAAGAAUAACCCCAUUUAGAACCCAAAUCAAAAUAAGUAUAUCUCUGUGUGCAACAUCAAAAUCAGGUCCCUAAAAAGGCCAUGCACACACAUAUAUAUAUGUGUGUGUGUGUGUGUGUGUAUAUAUAUAGAUGGUGGUCCUUUUGAAACUCUGCAAUCUGAUUCAUGGGCAUCAUUGAGUUAGGUCCCCUCUUUAUAAAGAAAACUUUGACAGUAAAAUAAAUUACUUUGAAAGAUGCUCCUCACCAAACAUGUACAAGUUUUCUCUUUGAUAAAAAAGACAUGCCUCCUUUCCUGUAUGUAUAGAAAUAUUAGUUUCCUUAUAUAUAAUCACUAAGUGUUAUUAGGGUUUCACCCAAUAUCGAUAUUGGCACGAUGAUAUUCUCGUUUAAAAAAAAAAAACAAUCGUAGUACUAUAAUUUUUUUUUUAAAUCUCGUUUCUUAUUGUAAAUUUUUAUAAGAUAUGUGAUGUGAUAUCUUAAUUUUAUAUUAAACGUUGAGUUAUCAAUGUCAAAAUAAGAAUGUUACGUCGUAUUUGUUACAUUGAAAAUAUUAUAUCGUAUGAAUUAUAUAUUUUAUACAUCAUAUUAUAUUAAUAUUAACAAACAUUUAUUAAGAAAUUGAUUGUCUCUCUCUCUUUUCAUAUAUAAGAGAUCGANNNNNNNAUUAGAUAAAUUAUUAAUUAAUAUUUAAAAUUAAUUAUUUUUUAUAAUUAAAUGUUUAAUUAUUUUUAAAAUAAUUAAAUUAUGUUAGAAUGCUUUAAAAAUAAUUUAAAAAAUAAUAUUAACUAAUUAAUCAAGUUAAUGUAUUAAGAGAUUAAUAGUGAUGUUAGGUCUAUUUGUUAUUGUUAUAAUUUAUUAAUUUAAUUAAUUAAUUAAAAUUAUUUUUUGAAUUAAAAUUAUUUAAAUAUAGUUUAAUUAUUUUAGUUUUUUAUUUUUAUUUUUACAGGAAAUAAAUAUUUUUAAUUUAAAUUUACGAUAUAAAAAAAUAAAAAUAAAAAUAAAAAUAAAAAGGGUGCGCGAUGGGCAAGUUGCGGGUGGUGGAUGGAUUUCUGGUGAUUACCUCAAGAAGCCGUUACCACCUUCUACACAGGCCGUGAUAUCUAGGUUCGGAAGGUGACGUGUCGAGAUUUCAUUGGUCUGUGAUCAACAGUAUCCUACGCCACGUCGUUCUCUCUCCCGUGAAUCUGAUAAAUUCCAACGGCGAUUACGCGGGUAAGCAGUUACUACUCUCACGCACCCACCUCCUUCCUCCUUCUUCCUUCCCUCUCUCUCUCUCUCUGAAAGUCUCUGCACUGUAACCUUCUUCACAAGAACAAAAAAGGCCAGAAGAAGAUUAGAAAACUCAGGAAUUGAUACGUAUAAUGUAAAAAUGCCAGAGAUCAUAUGUAGAAGAUGCUUAAGAAGCGAAACCAAGUGAUCGCACAAUCUCGACUCGAUCACAUCGCAGGUUUUUGUUUUCAAUUUUUUCAGUCAUUUCCCUUUGUUUUCCUCCCUUUUCCACUUCGAUGAUCUUCCUUACUUGUUCUCUGCUUCAUUUUUUGCGUGGUUUCUAUUAGUUCUAACUGUUCGAAAUGAAAACCAACUCUACAUUUACCGAUAUAUUUUUGAUAUAUUUGAAAAACUGAAAAUGUAAAAAUGAAACCUACAACUUUCAUUUUCUUCUUCACCGGAUAAAAUAUAUUUGUUAUCAUUAUUAUUUUUUUUCGAAGAGGUUAUUGUUAUUAUUUUUUCUCUGCUGUGUUGUGGUGAUUUCUGAGUGUUUACUGUCUAAUGUGUUGAUGUAUGGUUGUUUUGAUUGCUAUGAAGGCCGAUACCCCGGAGAUGGGGAAGAAAGGGAGCGGUUGGUUUUGGUCUGUGAAGAAAGUGUUCAAAUCAUCUGCUAAGGAAUUGCCGGAGAAAAAGGUCAUUCCCAUAAAUUUCUUAAAAUUUUUAAUUGCUUUGCUAAUAAGCAAUUAAUGACUUGUUGGUAGAUUUAUUGACUUUUUAGGUCUUUUAAUUAAAAUUUCAUUUUCAUCUACUUUUGAGUUAUUACCAGACAAUACUAAUCUUAUUAAUUAAAAAGGAAAAAUUAAUGACUUGUAAAAUUGGAUUUGGGUAGUUCUUAUAUAUGAUGGUUUAGGUGAGCAAUUUUCCGCAUCUGCAUGUGAUUGUAAAUAGUAACUAAACACUAAUUCACUGAGUCAACUUUUGAGAUUCUCUUUAAUUUCUUAGAGAGAUUAGGACUAUUUAGAAUUAUCAGAGAUUAUUAUCAGUGNNNNNNNNNNNNNNNNNNNNNNNNNNNNNNNNNNNNNNNNNNNNNNNNNNNNNNNNNNNNNNNNNNNNNNNNNNNNNNNNNNNNNNNNNNNNNNNNNNNNNNNNNNNNNNNNNNNNNNNNNNNNNNNNNNNNNNNNNNNNNNNNNNNNNNNNNNNNNNNNNNNNNNNNNNNNNNNNNNNNNNNNNNNNNNNNNNNNNNNNNNNNNNNNNNNNNNNNNNNNNNNNNNNNNNNNNNNNNNNNNNNNNNNNNNNNNNNNNNNNNNNNNNNNNNNNNNNNNNNNNNNNNNNNNNNNNNNNNNNNNNNNNNNNNNNNNNNNNNNNNNNNNNNNNNNNNNNNNNNNNNNNNNNNNNNNNNNNNNNNNNNNNNNNNNNNNNNNNNNNNNNNNNNNNNNNNNNNNNNNNNNNNNUCACAUCAUUAAUUGCAAAAGAAAUCAAAUGUACAUACCGUAGGCUAAUUUCUCCACUUCCUUUUUGGAUUUAAAAGGGUAGUAAUUUAUAAAUUAAAUACCCAAAUCGAUCUUAUGGGUUUCAUUUAUGAAGCAGUGGAUGAUUAGUUUAGAUGGUGAAACCAACAAUGAAGACGACCUACCACUGCAGCCCUGUAUAAGGAUUAGGGCCAUGAAUGCAUAACGGAGAUGCUGGUCCCCCUCUCUAUAUGAAGAUGACUAAGAAAUAAUAAUGCUUGGGGAGACCUCUUGAGAUAUUAUUAUCAUUACACCUAAGCUUUCACAUCAUCCUUGUUGACCGUCAUGUGCUUGACAUGUUCGAUCCGCUUCAUGCCAAAACAGAGAGAGCCAACUCUUGAGCUUGAAUUUCUUUUUUCCAAAAUUUGCUGGCUUGUCAAAAGAAAAAAAUUGUUGCUUUUUUCCCUCUUACUGAAACUACAGUUAUCUUCUUGUGGUGAUUUUUGAGCCGUCAUUAGUGUAAUAAAACAUGCAUUAUAUGUCUUUGAAAGGGAGACUUUUAUAUUUGACUGUGCAGAGAUUAGUUUAAUAUAAUGAAAGUAUGAUAAUUUGCGGAGAGACAAUCCAGAGAUUAGUUCAAUGAAACAUGCAUCACAUGUGCUAGAAAGGGUUUAGUUUUAUAUAUAACAUGCAGAGAGACAAUGCAGAGAUUAGUCUAACGGAAACUGCACUACACGUGUUUAAAACUUAAAGGCUUAGUUCAACGUAUGAUUUGCAGAAAGACAAUGCAGAGAGAUGGCAGCAAGAAGCCCCUGAAGUUGUGUCAUUUGAGCAUUUUCCUGCCGAGAGUUCUCCAGAAAUCACAAAUGAUGAGAGUUUUGCAUCGACCCCCGUGACUGAAGACAGAAACCACGCUAUAGCAGUUGCCAUGGCAACUGCUGCCGCUGCAGAAGCUGCAGUUGCAGCAGCUCAAGCUGCAGCCAAAGUUGUCCGAUUGGCAGGCUAUGGGCGGCAGACAAAGGAGGAAGCUGCUGCAAUUCUCAUACAGUCAUAUUACAGAGGCUAUCUAGUAACUAUAAUACCUUGCUCUUUUCUUCUGCAUCCUUGAGUAGUUCUUAAUCUCUGUAAUCAUAGAAAACCAAACGCAAGUUUACCCACUUUAGUGAAAUUUGUGUUGUAUGAUUGGUUUGUGCUCAGGCUAGGCGAGCUUUGCGUGCUUUGAAGGGAUUGGUGAGGCUCCAAGCACUGGUAAGAGGACAUAACGUGCGAAAGCAAGCACAAAUGACAAUGCGGUGCAUGCAAGCACUAGUCCGCGUGCAGGCUAGAGUAAGAGCACGUAGGCUUCAGUUGGCUCAUGAGAAAAUCAUCAAGAAAGUCGAGGAAGGGGAAGAGAAAGAACAAAGAGGAAUAAGGGAAGAAGGAUUGCAGAAACCGAAGGGUGGUUCUCCGUUGAUGAAAUAUGAAGGUUGGGAUGGUAGGCAUCAAAGCUCAGACAAAAUCCAGGAAAAUGCUUCAAGGAAACGUGAUGCUGUCAUGAAAAGAGAGAGGGCUCUUGCUUAUGCUUACAGCUACCAGGUUGGUCAAGCUUUUUUCCUUUGCAUUUGAUUAUACUAAUUAAGCACUUUUAACCCCUUAGCUUUUAAAUUUUGCUUUUGAUUGGAAACAAAGAGCUAAAUGAACUGGCAAGAGAUUGUAUUAUAAUCAAUACAGUAAGAUCGGUUUUUUCUUAAAUCUUUUACUGGUAUAAGCUGUUGAUUCCCAUACGUAUAUAAGCAUUACCUUUACAAUUGCAAUGCAGCAGCAACAACAGCAACCUCCACAACAUCAGCAAGUAAUGCAGCCAAGCCCAGAUGGCAAAGAGAUGACAUUCUACAACGAGCAUGAAAAGGCUCAAUGGGGCUGGAACUGGCUCGAGCGUUGGAUGUCAACACAGCCAUACCAUGCCCGUCACAUGAGCCCACAAGGCGGCUCUUACAUGACACUUGCCACCACUACUUCCACCACUGACGACAUGUCCGAGAAGACUGUUGAGAUGGACAUGAUCACCCCACAAGGCUUGGGCAAUGGCAAUACAAACAUGGACCUCUUCAGCCGUCAAAACAUGGACUCAGACACGUUCCCAAGUCGCCAACAACCACAACUGAUCAAUGUUCCCAGCUACAUGGCUCCAACCAAAUCUGCAAAAGCCAAGGUCCGAUCACAUGGUUCUGUCAAGCAACGUGGGUCUCAGAUUCCCCAGUGGAGUCUAUCAACAAAGAGAGGAUCAGUGGUCGGGUCUGGUUGUGACUCAUCCAGUUCUGGUGGUGGGUCGGCAGCUUACCAAGCUCCAAGAAGCCCGAAUCCAAAAGGCAAUGGGAUGCAAUUACCUUCUAGACGGGUUCCAGGUUGCAGCCCGGAUUAUAAUNNNNNNNNNNNNNNNNUAUGAUGCUGGUGUUUUAUAAUAGACUCAUUUGUCCAUACACAAGAAAACAAAAUAGGUAUAGUUUAAUAUUAACCCAUAUCUAUAUAUGCAACAAUGCUAUGAGAAAAUGUAAUAAUUUCUAAAAUAUAUAUAUUUAAUACAAAAUAAAAACUCUUAGCAUUAAAUAAAUAUGCUCAUAAUUUUAUUUUCAAUGGGAUGAGAAAGCUACAAGAAAAAUGAAGAUUAAUUUUAAUUUUUUUAAUGAAUAAAAAAUUACUUUUUCAUAUCAUCCGAGCAUUAUUUUGUUUCUAUUUAUUUUAUUUAUUUUUUGAGUGAAUUUUAUUAAAAUUAAAUUAGCAUGUUUUUAAUAAAUAAAGGCAAUUCGUUUAUUAAUUUAUAAUAUUUUCGUUUAAAAAUAAAUAAAAAUAUGAAACUAUAAACAAAAUAUUUUUGAAAAUUUAAUUUUUAUACGGGUGGCCCGUGCUUUGACUUUAACAGAAAGAGUCAAAAUUUGCGAUAUCCGAAAUAACGGUUUCAUCUUCGGUGGGUAAAGAUUAAUACGGUGCCGUUUAACAGUCGAACGACUACCACGUGGCGGAACUUACUGGAUGUCUCCACGUGGCACCAUCUUACAAUCGUCAGUCGAACCAUUUUGUUCCACCAGGAUUUUGUUUUUUUUUUUUUUUUUUUCGAUUUUCGCGCUUUUUCUGGAUCUCACAAGCAGAAAAGCUAUUUAUCGUCUCCCUUUUUCUGUAACAAUUCACAGGUAUAGUAUUAGUACCUUCUUUCGAGAUUUCCUUCGUUCUUUUUUUCAACUCCUAUUCACGAUUCCUUUCGUACUAGACUGGACUUACGUCUCCUCUUCUUCUUCUUCGUUAUUUUUUUCUAAUUGACAUCCUCUCUGAACUCUCUAAUGGAGUCUCUGCAAAUCAACUUUGUAAUUCCAUGCAAAUCGAAUAUGUGUUCUUCACAAUCAUAUCGCGAUUAUAAUGUCCGGCGAGUGAGUUUUGCUCGUAGAAGAAACAGAAAAGAAAGGUGUCUGCGGGUUAGAAGUGGACCAGUUAAAAGUAGCAGUGAAAGUGGGAUUGAUAAUCCAAAAGAUGGAUUCAAUAUCGUCGAAAAUAAGGAUGAAGAAAAGAGUCUUUUACUGGGUGAAGAGAGGGAUGGUUCUGGUUCUGUUAUCGGGUUUCACUUGAUUCCCCAACUUGGUACGUGCUCGCGGAAAUCAAUCACUUUUUUUAAUUUAAAAAUUAUUAAUUAAUGUUAAUGAUUCUUUUUUUGUCUGUAAUAUAUGGAAUAGAAGAGAUCCAAUGCAGUUUGGUGUUUAAGGAUGAUCAUCAUAAAUUUUUUAUUUGUUAAAACUGACGAUUAUUUAAUUUUAGUAUGAGACCUUCCUUAAUAGUUUCCCCUUCAUUUCGUGCGGAAUAUAAUUGGUUUAAGAUCAACUGGGAUUGUUUUAUAUUAAAUCAUUGUUCCUGUAUGAAAUUAGCUUCAUACUUUAUUUAGUUUACAUAAACUUUGGGAUCAUAAAGCAGGAUAACGCCAAUGAGUUCCUUUACUAAUUUGAUUGAUAAUGUAUCUAAAAUAAAUAACAAACUGGGUAAUUAGAGAUCAGUGCAAUUUAUUAUUUAUCUUGGUCCGUCAUCUGCCAGCCCCAAGCGGAAUCAUUUUUUAAUCUGAAUACAAAUGAAAGGUAGCUGGAAUUAUAGAGGAAGCUGAAGCACUGAUAGCGUAUAAGAUAAUAAGUUGUAACUAAUUCUUCGAUCCAGGUUACUAUUCCUCUUUUAUCUUAUCAAGCUUGGGUUAUAUGUCAUCUUAAAGGUUCUCUUUAGUAUUUUCUAACUUAUAAUGAUGAAAAAUCUGUAAGAACUUUUUAUUUCUUCAAUCUCUUCUUUACUAUAUAUUGUUCUGGAAUAUUGCUUUUUAUUUUCAAUUGCUAUGCAUGUUUUUGUAUAUGACUAUAUAAUGAAUAAAGAAAAUAAAAUUUCAAGAAAAUGUUUUUAUGUACUAAAACGAAGGCUUGAUAUUUCACUUGUUUGUGAGAGUGUGAGAGUUUUACUCUGUUUAGUUUAAUUCUCUUUUGGCACUAAGAUUUUUAGUAGAAUUGAUCGCUCAAUUUUGUUAUUUCACAAUAAUAAUUAUUCUAUUUCAGUUAGCAAAUAUCUUUUAUGAGCUUAGCAUCUCGGUUCUUAAUUAAUUUUGACGACCAGGACCUAUGCAGCAUCUAAUUGUUCUUUCUUUCUCUUAGAGCUGACUGCUGCUCUGUAAACUUUGAACUACAGCUGAUCAUGAGGUCAUUGGCUCUAAAGAAGAUGAAACCAUUCACGAGGAAGAGAAAACUGAGGAUGUUGAAGGAGAAGAGAAAGCUAAAACCAGAGUAACCUACAAUAUUGUUUUUGUCACUUCUGAGGCAGCACCUUAUUCAAAGACAGGUGGACUAGGAGAUGUUUGUGGUUCUUUGCCUAUAGCACUUGCUGCUCGUGGACAUCGUGUGAUGGUCAUCUCUCCCAGAUACCAAAAUGGUACUAUUGCAGACGAAAAGUUUUCUGGUGCUUCAGAUCUGGAUUCUCACAUCAAGAUAUAUUGCUUCGGAGGGGUGCAAGAAGUUGCCUUUUUCCACGAAUAUAGAGAAGGUGUUGAUUGGGUGAGACUAUCUGCAUGCUCGACAGUUAAAUAUAUUUUCUCUACGUGAUUGUAUUCUGAUUGAAGUACCUUUAAGCAUAAUUUUUUAUCUAUGUCAUAGAUCAUUCAGCUCUUAGCAGCAUUGCAAAACUAGGAGAAGUUUUUGAUGGGACUCUCCUCUCUCUAUUUUAGGUGUUUGUGGACCAUGCUUCAUACCAUAGACCUGGAAAUCCAUAUGGUGACAGUUAUGGUGCUUUUGGUGAUAAUCAGGUAACUUGAUGAUUUGUUCAGAACCUUAAUUAACAGAGGGAUAGGAUUUUGUUUCAGAAGCAAUGACAAACCUCAUCCUUUUCAUUUUUCCAAUUUCUUUUUACAGUUUCGAUUCGCUUUACUUUGCCAUGCAGCAUGUGAAGCUCCACUGGUGCUUCCACUUGGAGGCUUCACCUAUGGAGAGAAAUGUCUGUUUCUAGUUAAUGACUGGCAUGCCAGCCUUGUACCAGUGUAAAUCCUUUGCCUGUUAUGACCACUUUCAUUUGUCUGUUUCUCUUCCUGGCAUAGUUCUUAUACAUACACUGUAAUGUGGUUCAGGCUUUUGGCUGCAAAAUAUCGUCCACAUGGAGUUUAUAAGGAUGCCAGAUGUAUUCUUGUAAUCCAUAACCUGGCUCAUCAGGUAGACGUUUUCUUCUCACCGAUUCCUUUUAUUCUCGCUAUUACCUUUUAUUUUGAUUUUGAUGGACGUGCGGUACACCAAUAAAUAUCCAUAUAAAUAAGUGAUAGACAAGGGGAUUAUUAAUUGAAAAACUAUGAGAUUAUGCAUAAGCAAUGCUGAUAUUUAUUGACUGUUACAUGUCAGGGAGUGGAACCUGCAGCAACUUACAAGAAUUUGGGACUUCCGUCGGAGUGGUAUGGAGCAUUAGAAUGGGUUUUCCCUACAUGGGCAAGAACACAUGCUCUUGACACUGGUGAAGCUGUGAAUAUCCUGAAGGGUGCAAUCGUGACAGCCGACCGAAUAGUUGCCGUGAGCAAGGUCAUUAACGUUGCAUAGAAUUUUCUUCUUUUGUUGUGUUUCUGGUUGGGUAAUUCACUUUUAUUUAUACAAUUUUCCACAGUACAAGUGCGUUGUUUGUAGUAUUAGUUACCACUUCUAUCUAAUUUUUUUAGAAAAUUAAUUACUACUUUGUCACUGUUCUCUUUCAAUUGCAGGGCUAUGCAUGGGAAAUAACCACCCCAGAGGGUGGAUAUGGUUUACAUGAGCUAGUGACCAGUCGCAAGAGUGUUCUUAAUGGUAUGCUUUCUGAGUUUAUGAAUUGCUUAGUUUUCCAGUGAAUUUUAGUCUUUCAAGAAGAAAAUGGAUACGUAUGUUUUGAUUCUUGAACCCUCCCAACUCACAUAUCUAAUUAUAAUAUUAGGAAUUAUAAACGGCAUUGAUACUGUUGAAUGGGACCCUUCCAAGGAUGAGCAUAUCGCCUCCUGUUACUCCAGCAACGAUUUGUCCGGGAAGGUGCACAAAUCUUUAAUAUGGAAAGCCCUUUUUCUUGAGACUUCUUUUUUCUUACAUUCUUACCCUGUAACUUUGAAAAUGCAGGUCGAGUGCAAGAUUGCUUUACAGGAGGAAUUGGGUCUUCCCCUUAGGCCUGAAUGUCCAAUGGUAAGAUGUUACUUUUUGUUUCUGCAAUGCUUGGUAGCUAAGAUCUGUCUUUUCUCAAACUUUUUAUAUGAUUGGAUUAUGCAGAUUGGUUUCAUCGGGAGACUGGACUACCAGAAAGGCAUUGAUGUGAUUCGAGCAGCAACUCCAGAACUUAUGGAAGAUGAUGUUCAAUUUGUAAGUGCAUUUUUAUAUAUUUCAUUACCACUUCAUUACCUUAGUCAAGUCCCAUUUCAAUAAGUCUACUGAAGCUUCCCCGUUAGGGAGCUUUAUCCAUGCAUAAGAAUUCUUCACAUUUAUUCCAAAUCGUAAAGCUUUAUUUGUUUUAAAUUUCAAUGUGUGAGAAUCCAGGUAAAAUGUACAAACCUGAUUAUGUUUUUGUUUAAGGUUAAAGAAACGAAGUUUUAUGUAGAAAAUAUUUGAUAAAUCUCAAGGAUAAAUUAGCAGUUGGUAAUGAGCAGAAGCUUGGUAUGCAUGUGCACAUGUGCCAUUCUGCAAUUUCAAGGAACUUAACUGGUGUCAUGCAGCCCUUAUAUGUUAGUUAUGGUUUCAGGUUACACUUAAUUGUUCUUUUCUGUCAAGGAAACUAAACUCCCUGAUCUUAGGUUAUGCUUGGGUCUGGAGACCCGCAAUUUGAGGACUGGAUGAGAACCAUGGAGGCUACCUACAAGAACAAAUUUCGGGGUUGGGUUGGAUUCAAUGUUCCAAUUUCUCACAGAAUUACUGCAGGGUAUUUGAAACUUGUGAUUUACAGUUAAUAUGUCAUUACUCAUCAGAAAAUUCAUCGCUUACUGAAAUUCUGAAAUGAUCAGCUGUGAUAUACUGCUGAUGCCCUCAAGAUUUGAGCCCUGUGGGCUAAAUCAACUGUAUGCAAUGAGAUAUGCAACUUUACCAGUAGUUCAUGCAACUGGAGGACUUAGAGUAAGUUUAACAGUUAUUAGUAAGUUACCGUUUGAUUCUUUAUUUUUUUUGUUUAUCUAGUCCAACUGUUUCAAUACUCUGCAUUGCAGGAUACCGUUGAGACAUUCAAUCCCUAUGCUCAUGAGGGCAGUGGUGAAGGUACAGGGUAUGUAGUUCAUCCCCUAUCCUUUUUACUGGAUGAUUGUUUUUUGGAAAAUGACUUACAAGGUCGAAAGCUCAGGUUUAAGAUGAUUCCUUUCACUUUUCAAUAUUUAGUUGGAAAUUCCAAAUCAAGCUCAAGAAGAACAAACUAUCUUAGUUAUACUCUGUUUAUACUUCAAGAGAAAUGCAAUGUAACAUUGUUUGCAAGUUGUGUGAAUUCAGUAAAAAAACCAGUAUAAUUUUCUGAUAUUUAUUCUAAAUAAGCAAAAUGCAGUUGUGCUUUACUUCCAACAAGUCUUUCUCUUAGGUAGCAAAUUAUAUUAUGAACUUAGUUCUGUUGCAGAGAUGAUUUUUUCUAUCAUGUGAAUCUUGAAAUGCAGUAUAUCUUUGUUAUAACAAUGUUGUGGAAUGUAUUGGCAGGUGGACUUUUUCUCCGCUGACAAAAGAAAGUAUGUUGGCGGUAAGUUCUUUAUGCCUACACUCUUUGCAGUCGUUCUAUUUAGUUUUUCAUUUCCUGUUAUGUCUGUUAGAGUGUAAAUACUUGAUAAAAUUAUUUUCUAUUAGUUUAAAUUUUUAAGAUAUUGCAUUCUCAUUUUAAUGAAUUUGUGCAUAAGAAAGCGUGUUAAAAUUAAAAAAUUGAUUGACUCAGUUUUUUCAAAAAAUCAGUAUAGAUCAAUUACUUACCAGUGCUUGGUUUCCCUGAACUCAUGAUAAAAGGAACCGAUCAAUCAUCGGCUUGAACGGUUGAUUCUGUUCCUGAACUCAUUAUCAAAGGAGCAAGUCUUGUUAUAUGAAAGUCGAACAAUGGAGUAGAUUCUAUGCUUUUUUAAGUUCAGAGGUUUUUCAAGUUUUACUAAUGAUUUGACUGCAAAGAUAAGGAUGUUAAGCAGUAGUUAUCAGUAUACCUAGAUAAUGGUGUUCCCUACUGACAGGAACUUACAGGUGAAAUUUUCAGUUUUCUUUUUCUUAUUCUUAGAUCUAUUUUCUGGUAAAACAGGCUACUUGUGCUGUAAGCAAGGGGAAAUUCUAUGUUGCCCCAGAGAUUCAGGACUCCUUGUUUUUUUUCUAGUAUUUCAGUGUAAUCUCAUAACUUGGUGUAAUAUUAGCCUAACAAUAUGUAAAUUAUCUAAUUGCUAUAAAAUAUUAAGUGAUCUCGAUAGAAAAUAACUCCAAGACAGACUGCUUCUUGAAACACCAAUAGUCCCAGAUAUCGAGUAUCCGAAUUCCUAAAUGUGAGAGAGUGAUUUUUUUGACAGGCACUAAGAGUUGCUAUUAACACUUACAAAGAACACAAAUCAUCUUGGGAAGGAUUGAUGAAGAGAGGAAUGCAGAGAGACUUCACUUGGGGAAAAUGCUGCGGCUCAAUAUGAGCAGGUUUUCGAGUGGGCGUGCAUCGAUCCUCCUUACGUCACCUGAGUAAGAAGGAGAGAAACAAGUAUGAAGGAGAGGGGAAAAGAAGAGAGGAACCUCCAUUUUUCAGGAUGAGGUAAACAGUUUCUCUUAUCCGGCUUAAAAAACUGUACUGUUUAGCUUUUCUUGGUUGAGCUGCUGUAGUUUUAGAUUGCGGAUAUACUCGAUUGAUUGAUUCAAAAUUUUCUAAAAGAACUUGAAUUUAUUGUAAUAUAAUCUCUUCUCUAAAAAAAAUUAGACAAUGGUAUAUUAUAUAUAUAUGAUAUAUGUUCAUAUGAACACUCAGUAUAAAUAAAAAU
rnacentral:lncRNA from 1 species